GGAGAUGCAGUCUCUUGAGAAGAACAACACAUAGGAGGUUGUACCUUUGCCUAAACAAAAGAAGACCAUCAGUUGCAAAUGGAUCUUCAAGAGAAAGGAGGGUCUAUCUCCAAGUGAGCCUCCAAAAUAUAAGGCAAGGUUAGUUACUAAAGGCUACAGUCAAAUUCUGGGUGUUGACUAUAAUGAUGUAUUCUCUCCAGUGGUAAAACACAGUUCAAUUCGUACUUUCCUUAGUAUUGUUGCUUCACAUGAUCUUGAGCUUGAGCAGUUAGAUGUGAAGACUGUGUUUUUGCAUGGAGAGCUUGAGGAGGACAUAUACAUGGACCAACCGAAAGGGUUCAUAGUGCCUGGCAAGGAAAAAUAUGUGUGCAAGUUGAAGCGAUCAUUGUAUGGUUUGAAACAGUCCCCUCGUCAGUGGAACAAGAGGUUUGAUUCAUUUAUGUUGUCACACAGUUUUAAAAGAUCUAAAUAUGAUAGCUGUGUUUACAUCAAGCAUGUCAAUGGAUCACCUAUAUAUUUGCUGUUAUAUGUUGAUGAUAUGCUGAUUGCUGCCAAGAGUAAGAUUGAAAUCACUAAGUUAAAAAGGUUGUUGAGUAGUGAGUUUGAAAUGAAAGAUCAUGGUAGUGCUAAGAAAAUUCUUGGUAUGGAAAUUAGUAGAGACAGAAAAUCUGGUUUGCUAUUUCUUAGUCAACAAAAUUAUAUCAAGAAAGUUCUUCAGCGUUUCAACAUACAAAAUGCUAAGGCUGUUAGUACCCCUAUUGCACCUCACUUUAAGUUGUCACCUGCUCAGUGUCCUAGUAUAGAUGUAGAGAUUGAGUACAUGUCAAGGGUUCCUUAUUCUAGUGUUGUUGGGUCUUUGAUGUAUGCCAUGGUUUGCUCUCGUCCAGAUUUGUCAUAUGCUAUGAGUCUUGUUAGUAGAUAUAUGUCUAAUCCUGGCAAAGAACAUUGGAGGGCAGUUCAGUGGAUUUUCAGGGACCUCAGAGGCACAACAGAUUCCUAUUUAAAGUUUGGAAGAACUGAUAAGGGCCUUAUUGGUUAUGUAGAUUCUGAUUAUGCUGCUGAUCUGGAUAGGCGAAGUCACUUACUGGUUAUGUGUUUACUGUUGGCAGUUGUGUUGUGAGUUGGAGGGCUACUUUACAGUCUGUUGUUGCUUUGUCUACUACUGAAGCAGAAUAUAUGACUAUUUGUGAAGCGUGUAAAGAAUUAGUAUGGCUGAAAGGUUUGUAAACUGAGCUUUGUGGAGAUGAAUCUUGCAUAAGUUUGCACUGUGACAGUCAAAGUGCAAUUUAUCUCACUAAAGAUCAGAUGUUCCAUGAGAGAACUAAGCACAUAGAUAUCAAGUAUCAUUUUGUGCGUGAUGUGAUUGAAGAUGGUAAGAUAAAGGUAUGCAAGAUUAGUACUCAUGAUAAUCCUGCUGAUAUGAUGACAAAGGCAGUUCCUGUUGCUAAGUUUGAGCUAUGCUCAAGCUUAGUUGGUUUAAUUAGAUAGUCCAAGACUCCAAGAGACUAUGGUUGGCACCAAUGGUUUUCUAUCUUUGUUGUGUUCAGGAUGAAGGGUUGAUUUAUGAUACAAGAUGAAUUUGUCUCAAGGUGGAGUUUGUUGGAGUUGUUCCAAAUUCAUUUCAGGAUAUUGGCCGGGCUUCUGACGGAGCGAAGCGGAGGCCCGUCGCCGGAGGCUUGGGCCGGAGCGUAGGCGUUUAGUUCAAUGUGUUUAGUUCUUGCAUGAAACACCGGAUUAGCAGAUAAAUACCGAGCUUUAAAGUUGUCACACCAUAAUCUCGUCACAGGCUGAUGUGCUAUCUUGAGUUCACCAAGUAACUUUUGCACCCACAUAAGUUCAGCUGUUGCAUUCGCUAGAGAAUUGUAUUCUGCUUUGGUACUUGACCGUGAGACUGUAGGUUGCUUCUUUGAACUCAAGGAGAUCAAAUUUGGUCCAAGAAAUACUGUGAAACCCCCUGUUGAUCUCCUGUCAUCAACAUCGCCAGCCCAAUCAGCAUCAGAAAAAAAACACUAAGCAUCAUCGUUUGUGAAAGAGUGGCUCAGAAGUUACAUGCAAUCAGGUACAUACAUACAAAUAAUGAUCAGUUAGCUGAUGGCUUUAUGAAGCCAAUAACAGUUGUGAAGUUGAAAGCGUUUAGGAAUAAUCUCAACCUUGUUAUUGGCUGAAAUUGAGAAGGGGUGUUAGAUUAUAGAAUUAGUCUAGGUUACAUUGUACCAUAGAGUUUGGAAUGUAUAUAUGAUUGAGAGUGAUUUAUGGAGAGGUGGUUGUAACCAAAUCUGUACUGCCAUGUAGGAGGCUUUUCCCUGCCCAUAUAACACACAACGAGAGACCCGAGCAGUCAUCUCGUUAACCCAACUUUACACUCUCUUUUUUGUCUAUAUAUAUACACAGGCCUGCAGCUUUUCUCAAACUACUACUGUAAAUAAAUUCUUGGCAGCCUGUUCUUUAAUCAAAGCCAAGUUCUAGGCUGUUGACCAAAAAUAAAGGGAUGGUAGUGGAAUAUCGUGUCAGAGCUGACCGCCUAAGGUAACUUAGGAUAUGUUUAGACACCAUGAGCUAAUUACUAGCUAGCUAAUUUUAGCUCAAGUUAGUUCUAGUGCCUCCAAACAGAAGGAUUUAUUCGUGGGCUUUUUUGCCAAGUCUUCAAAACUAGUUGUUUGCUGACUAGCUAGUCAACCUUAACUUUUAGCCAACUAGUAACUAGCUAUAGCAUAUUCAAACAUGGCUACUCUGGGCACUUUUCUCUACACUGCCACACGUUCGGGCAUUAGCACCGGUCGGGAAGGGCCUGUUGCCCCGGUUCCCGAGCCGGUGCUGCCCUUCCGGGACUAAAGGCCCACCCUUUAGUCCCGGUUCCGUUAACCGGGGCUAAAGCCCCCCUUUAACACCGGUUGGUAACACCAACCGGUGUUAAAGGGUCCUGCCAGGGCUGCCACGUUGCAGGACCCUUUAACACCGGUUGGUAUUACCAACCGGUGUUAAAGGGUUUCUUUUUCUUUUUUUUUGUUCACUUCUUCGGUUCUGUUUAUUGUUUAUAUAUAAUAUAUAAUAAUAGGUUUUUCAAUACAUGUUUUGCUGAUACAAUAAUAUAUUUAUAUUACACGUAUAUUAAGCAUAUAUAAAUGAAAAUUAUAGGCUAAGCUUAAUAGUUAAGCUUUGCCUAUAAUAAAAUGAAUAGACCACAUCAAAAAUUAAAUAUAUAUGUAAAAAGCUUUAUAUAUAUAUAGUUUUAUAUGUACAAAAUUCGUAACACAUAUAUACAUAGAGUUUGUUCUCCCAAUGUCUACAAACGAUACAAAUGAUCAUCGUUGUUUGGUAUAAGAGUUUCGUUGCCGUUGAAGUGAAACUCGCCGUUUGGAUUGAUCACUUGGUCGCGGAGAAAUCCUGCUAUCGUCUCUUGGAUAGCUUUGAUUCGGUCUUGUUGUAGGACCUUUUCCCUCAGCCAUUCCGUCUUUAAUUUGAAAUAAAUAAAAAAGGUAUUAGUUAUCUAAGUUAUUCAAUAUAAUUCAGGAGAUAAUGAAAAGAGACAUGUAACGUACUCUGAGCGUCUCUGUGGGUGUUUGAUUGACUUGUGCCAUCAUGAAUUUGCACACGUAAUAUGCACAUAGAUUGUUCCCCCCUUCUUGUCUUAAACACCACUGUACGAUGUAUAUAUAUAUAUAUAAAUAUUCAUGACCACGACAAUAAGAAGGCUAAAAGUUAGCGAAAGUUUGUUAGCUAGUAGAACUUACUUGUGGAUGUAUUAUGUUAAGCGGCGCUUUACAUCCACUGAGAUGUUCACGGUCAAUGAAUCUUUCCCAAACCCUAUACACAGCCAUUGUGGAUCGUGAACUAAUAAUUACAGAGUCAUAUUAUGAUAUUUUUGUAGCUGAGAUCGACAUUACGUACCUUUGAAUAGAAUAACGUUUACCAUUUGUUGAUAAUUUUCUUGUGGUUUUCUCAUUGAGUCAAAGAUUAUCAAUCGGUUCUUGGGAAUUUCAAUGACCAUGAGUAUCCAGUGAAAGCUGUUUACACACACAUAUAUAGGGUCAGUCCUAUAAUGUAAAAUAAAAUAUGCAUGCACUUAAUAACUAUAUAACUCACUCGAAGUUGAAGGGGAAGAGUAUUUUUUGUUUUUCUUUUUGGUUUACAAAGAACCUCAUAAGAUUGGUGCAGAUUUCUGUCUCAUAAUCUGCUGUCCACACUGCCUGCGGAGCCUUGAAAACAAUAUAAGGGUCAACGAACCCAAUACUAUUGUCAUUUCUCAUUCUGAGCUCUCUCAUUUGGUGCCUGCAUAUAUACAUACAAAUCCUAAGUGUGUAAGGAUUAUAUACAUGUAAUUAAAGAAGUUAGAAGUAUAAUAAAAAGGAAAAAUACUUACAGACAAAAGCAGCUGACAAGAGAUUUGUCAAGAGCGUCGAGGUGGCAUAAUUGGUGCAAUUCUUCGAACUGCACGUAUAUGAGGUCAUCUCCACGGAAGUAGUGAUGUUGUCUAAUACGAACAGAAAUCCAAUUCUCUCCCCUUUUAGACGCCUCAAUGCACCAUUUGUUUAUUGCAAACAUUUGUGUGCCGAGCUCGUGUAAACGCUUAGGGUCGAAUAGACUCCUGCCCGGUUCAUAUCUUGCCCUCCAUUGAUCAACUACCUCGGCUUUUUCAAAUGUAUGACAUCCAAGAAUGGCGGUAAUUUCUUCUAUAUUUAAACCGCUCUGUCCAAAGUAACUCUCAAGCGAGUCUAGCUCAGACAACGCUAAGGAUUUCUUUGGCAUCAAGUCUUCAUUUGAGCCGUAUUGAUUUGGCACAAUCAAAGGGGGCACCGGUUUUGAUACUUCUCCGAGCUGUGGGACCCCCUUUCCUACUCUCUUCUUAGUAGGCUGUGAAGACUUGACCAGAGACCGCUCAUAGUCCGAAAGUGCUGGCUUUUUUUGAGCUUCGCGUUGCUUCUUUUGAUGGUCCGCCACCUUCUGCCUCAGUUCCGAUGGCUUCACAUAAAAGUACGGCUUUUCUGGGUUAAGCCGUUUUUUCCUUUCCUCCUUUAUUUUAUCAAAAAAUUGUUGGACCUCAGCUUUAGAUGUAGCAAUUACCUCCUCUUCACUCUUUUCGUAAGGUAAUUUUUCUGGCGUCUUAGCUCUCUUUGCUGAGGCAGCCUUCUUUGGAGGUGGGACCGAUGACUUCGGUCCUUCUUGGACGGACCGCUUCUUACUACCUCGCUUUGGAGGCGAGGGGACCGACCGUGCACUCUUUGGAGAGGGCGGUGCAGGCGGUGGAGGGGGUGGGGCCGAUCUUUUUGGCGUUGGAGAACGCGGUGGAGGAGUUGGAGAACGCGGUGGAGUUGGAGACCUCAGUGGAGGAGGUGGAGACCGUGGUGGAGGCGGUGGCGGGGUCGGUGUGGCCGCCGCAGGUGUUGGAGGAGAUCCAGCAUUGUCACCGCCCGCAGCACUAUGAUGCGCUGGGGAGAGAACUGGACUUAGGUUGGAGGAGUCCCUGCAAAGAAAACAAUUACAAGUUUUGUGAGUAAACUUUUUUUAAAUUUCAAUACAUAAUAAAUAAUAUAAGAAGUAAAAUCACACACAAACCUAUGCUGAGGAAUAAUUAUGAAGCGCUUGCGCCAACAAAUAAAUGUCUUCUCAGCUUCACCUAAGGUCUUCUCUCCGUCUCCCCCUUCUAUGUCUAGUGGCACAUUGCCACAACCUUUCUCAACCCUAUCAACCGAGACGCUAGCAUAUCCACCAGGUACUGGUCGAUUAUGGAUUCUUGGAGUGCCCGUUCGGUCGAUAGGGUUGACAACAGCGAUAGCCACCUUUUUGGUGGCAUUCCCAUCUGGUACAUGCAGCUCACAGGUAGUAAAAGCCUCUGUGACAUCAUCCACGGGGAAGUGUAGCUUCGUGUCAUCCUGAAUGGUUGGUACUUCCGUGGAUGCGCAGCUGCUUUUCAACUGGCCUGGGGGGCUAACAUUGACCUCAGGCUGUGAUGUACCUUGCCCUUUCGUCAUUUGACUAAGUGCUGCUUGCACUUGCCUUUGAAUCUCUGCCUGCAUCCAUUCUUCACGAGCUUUCUCGCGCUCUUGUGACUGCAGAACAAAAGCUUCCAGGCGGCGGAUCCGCUCUGCCUCCUCAUCCUUCUUUCUCUGGCGGCUUCUGUAGGUAUCUUGAUCGGCUUGGAAUGAUUGCAGCCACAGAACUGCCCCAUAGCCUCUCGUACGCCCACCGUGCUCAGGAUUUUCAAGCCCAUAGGUGAGUUCAUCCUUCUCCCUGUUAGGCCUGAACUCACCAGACUGAACCGCCUCUCGUGCACGGACUAGUCUCUCUGCUGCUCUAGAGAUUUCUUGGCCCCAAACUAGCGCCCCGGUGUCUGGGUCCACGCUUCCCCCAUGACCGUAGAACCAAUGCUUGGAGCGCUCGCUCCAAUUCUUUGCUAUUGUCUCGGGUGUGACCCCCCUAGCAAGCAGCUCCUGUUCCAUUCGGUCCCACUUGGGAACAGCACUCUUAUAACCACCUGAUCCCAUAUGAUGGUGGUAUGCCUUUUUACUGGCAUUCUCUUUGUUUCUAUUGGCUCGUUCCUCGCCCUCUUCUGAUGUUUUGUACUGCACAAAGUCAUCCCAGAAGGCCCUCAGCUUUACAUAUUGCUUGAGGUUGAAAUCUGGAGUCUCGUUUUUCUUGACAUAUUUAUUGUACAAAGACUUCUUCCAAUUCUGGAAGAGUACUGCCAUCUUCUUCAUAGUCCAGUCAUAAAUUCGCACCUUCAACUCUUCAUCGUUGGUGUCGAAGGUGAAAACGUCUGUGACGGCUUUCCAAACUAACUCCUUGUCACGAUCAGAGACAAAACUGAUCUCAGGAGCACCUCGCUUCUCUCUCCAUUCACGACAACUGAUCGGUAUUUGAUCUCUCACAAGAUAUCCACAGUGAUUAACAUAUUUAUUUGCAUGCUCACCAAGUGGUUUGCCUGUAGCUAUCUCAAACUCAGAGAUUACAUAGCGGCCCUCCAACGGCUUCUUUGGCCCUCGUGGAGGUAUGCUUCUCCCCGUAGAGGUCGAUCCAGAAGGCUACACGUACAUAUAGAAACAAAAAUACGAAAUUAAUAACCAAGUAAUAAGUCUAAAACCUAAUGUAAGAGAUGCAUUAUUUAUAUAUGUUUACAUUUACAUACCUCGCCAGUAUUUUUUUCUUGUUGCACGAUAAGUUGUUGCUCAGGGGCAUUGCCCUCUUGUUGCUCAGGGGCAUUGCCCUCUUGUUGCUCAGUAGGAUUGCCUUGCAUGAUGUCGUGGUAAUCAACGAAGUACUGACUACCGUCGUCGAUUAUAUUUUGAAUGGCAGCUUCCAUAUAAUCAGGAUCAUCAUGAGGACGGUCAGCCAUUUCUAUGUCUGCAACCAUACAUAUAUAUAUUCUAUAUAAGAUAAGAAAUACACUAAUACUACUACAAAUGAAAGUGUUGGAGUGCUCUAAAAAUAAUACUAGGAUCUUUUAAGCCAAGUAAUACAUUAGAAUAAAAAACAAUACUAGAAUAAUACAUACAUACAAAAAAUAUUACAUAUAUAUGUGUGUGUAUAUGUACAAAAAAUAAUAUACAUACAUACAAAAAAUAAUACAUAUAUAAAAAAAUAGAACAUACAUACAUACUAUAUACUAAAAAUACUACAAGAAUAUAUAUUACAAGAAUACUACAAAAAUAAUGAAAGUGUUGGAGUGCUCUAAAAAAUAAUACUAGAAUCUUAAGCCUAGUAAUACACUAGAAUAAUAUACUAAAAGAAUAAUACUAGAAUAAUAGUACAAACAAUAAUAUAUACAAAACACUACAAAAUAAAAUAUAAUACAAGAAUAAUACAAGAAUAAUAGUACAAACAAUAAUAUAUACAACACACUAGAAAUAAAAUAUGAUACAAGAAUAAUACAAGAAUAAUAUACUUCAAAUAUAUACUAAAAAUACUACAAGAAUAUAUAUUACAAGAAUACUACAAAAAUAAUAAAAGUGUUGGAGUGCUCUAAAUACGAAUCUCUUUGACCAGAUGAACUAGGAGGUGUGUCAUGAUAUCGAAGAAGGAUGGAGGGAACACCAACUCAAAGCUGACGAGACAUUGAACGACAUCAUUCUACAGAGUAGCUAGUUGCUCUGGAUUUGAUUGUCUUCUGAGAAAUUGCAUUGAGGAAUGCACAUAGCUUUACGGUGGCUAGACGUACGUGUGGAGGUAGAAUUUCUCUUAAAACGACCGGCAGCAAUUGCGUCAUUAGAACGUGACAGUCAUGGGACUUCAAGUUUAGGAAUUUCUUCUCUGGCACAUUAAUUAUUCCCUUGAUAUUGGAGGAGAAUCCAGAUGGGACCUUGAUGCUGCUAAGACAUUCAAACAUGCUUUCCUUCUCUUCUUUGCUCAGAGUGUAGCUAGCAGGGCUUAAGUAAUGACGUCCAUCAUCUGUCUUUUCUGGAUGCAGGUUGUCUCGUUCUUUCAUGCGCUGCAAGUCUUGUCGUGCUUCAAGUGAAUCUUUAGACUUCCCGUAGACACCCAUGAAUCCGAGCAAGUUCACACAAAGAUUCUUUGUCAGGUGCAUCACGUCGAUCGCGUUGCGGACCUCUAGGACAUUCCAGUAAGGUAGCUCCCAAAAUAUGGAUUUCUUCUUCCACAUGGGUACGUGUCCCUUAGCAUCCUUGGGAAUAGGUUCGCUGCCUCGUCCCUUUCCAAAUACCACUUUUAUAUCCUUGACCAUUUCGAGUACAUCAUCCCCGGUUCGAUUGAGAGGUUUGGUCCGGUGGUCUGCCUUGCCUUUAAAAUGCUUGCCUUUCUUUCGUACUGGGUGGUUCACAGGAAGAAACCGUCGGUGGCCAAGGUACACGACCUUUCGACAUUUUUUCAAAAAUACACAGUCAAGGUCUUCAUAACAAUGUGUGCAUGCAUUAUAUCCCUUGUUUGACUGGCCUGAAAGAUUACUCAGAGCUGGCCAAUCAUUGAUUGUUACAAACAGCAAUGCUCGCAGGUCAAAGUGCUCUUGUUUGUACUCAUCCCACACGCGAACUCCUGGUUUGCUCCAUAAAAGUUGAAGUUCCUCAACUAAUGGCCUAAGGUAGACAUCUAUGUCAUUGCCAGGUUGCUUCGGUCCUUGGAUAAGCACCGGCAUCAUAAUAAACUUCCGCUUCAUGCAUAGCCAUGGAGGAAGGUUGUAGAUACAUAGAGUAACUGGCCAAGUGCUGUGACUACUGCUCUGCUCACCGAAAGGAUUCAUACCAUCUGUACUUAAGGCGAACCGCAAGUUUCUAGCAUCAUUUGCAAAAUCUGAGAAUUCUCUGUCUAUCGCUCUCCACUGGGAUCCAUCGGCAGGGUGUCUCAGCAUAUUGUCUAUCUUACGGUCUUCUUUAUGCCACCGCAACAACUUUGCAUUGUCCUUAUUUCUGAACAGACGUUUUAAUCGUGGUAUUAUAGGAGCAUACCACAUAACCUUGGCUGGAAUUUUCUUCCUAUGACGUUCUUCACCCUCAACAUCGCCAGGAUCAUCUCGUCUAAUCUUAUACCGUGAUGCCUUACAUACUGGACAUGCAUCCAAAUUCUCGUAUUCCUCCCCACGGUAGAGGAUGCAGUCAUUAGGACAUGCGUGUAUCUUCUGGAUUUCUAAUCCCAAAGGGCAGACAACCUGUUUUGCUUCAUACGUAGUGGUGGGCAAUUCGUUGCCUUUCGGAAGCAUCUUUUUUAUGAUCUUCAAUAACUUCCCAAAUGCCUUGUCAGAUGUACCAUUCUUUGCCUUCCAUUGCAGCAAUUCUAGUGUGGUAUCCAGCUUUUUUUGCCCCUCUUCAGCGGUGGGAUAUAGCGAUUUCCUGUGGUCCUCUAGCAUGCGCUCGAACUUGGCUUUCUCUUUAUCACUAUCACAUUCUCUUUGUGCAUCACGGAUGGCAUCACCAAAAGCAUCAUCGCCCCGAUCAUCUUCUGCCGCCACCUCUUCUUCAUUAUCUCCCCCCAUUGCAACAUCAUUGAAGCCACCGUACUGAGCAAUAAUAUUGGCAUGGUCCAAUUCUUCUUCUUCUUCUUCUUCACCUUCAUCCAUUAUAAUCCCGCUUUCUCCAUGUUUGGUCCAACAAAUAUAGUUUGGUACGAAACCAGACUUUAAUAAGUGUGAAUGAAGAGUUCUUGAGUUAGAAUAUUCCGUCAAAUUCUUGCACACGGCACAUGGACAGCACAUGAAACCGUCCCUCUUAUUUGACUCGGCCACACUUAAGAAAUAGUGCACGCCAUUAAUGAACUCUUCGGAGCGCCGAUCGGUAUUAUACAUCCAAUUACGUGUUACCAUCUGCAUUAAAGAUAACAUAUAUAUUAUGAAAACCAUGCACACAUAUAGUUUCUCAUCUUAUUGCACAACAUGUCUAAGAUACAUAGUUGAUUAAUUUAGAAAAGCUUGGCUACAACAAAUACAAUCGCAACUAGCAUUAAAAAAAACAAAACUAAAAUGCACUUAAGCAACAUAAUUAGUUCGCGUCCGAUCCCAACUAUAAUAGGUAGAUCAUUCGCUUGAUCAACAUCAUUGAACUUCUUUCGUCGGCUCACUGCCUCACCACCUUCAGCCUUAACCACCUGUGCAAAAGAUUUCUUAAUGUGUUCAAUGUAUUCUUCCUCCCAGUACCAACCUGUACAUCCGCCGGUACCGUCUCACUGAAAUUAAAAGAGAGAAUCAAAAGUUUAAUUAAUAUCAUUUAAAAAAAUAUGCACAUAUAUAAGCAAAUGUCUGGAAAUAACUCACAUUACGAUCUGGACACUUGUAGAAUAUACGACCCUUGUUUACUCCCUCUUUCGACACUUUGUACUCCAUCAAAAUCUUCUGCCCACACUUGCCACAAGUAAUGAGAGGGAGUUCCGGACGGUAUCGCUUUUGAACCCGUUGAGAGACUGAAGACCCGGUCACGGUUGCCAUCUACUAUCCAUACUCAAUUUUAAAACAAUUAUAAAUUCCACAUUUACUAGUAAACAUGUAUGAUACAAUGGACAUUAUAUGUAGUAAUAAAAAUAAAUCAAGUGAUAUUAACAAACCAAUUAAUUUGAACUAUCCUACUUUCUAUGAUCAUAAAAAUAUACUAUAAUUCAUUCUUGCAAAAUACAUUAAAACUAGGUCAACCAUGAAAUAUGAUAUAUAUAUAUAUAUGGAUACUAAUUCAUGUGAAUGAUUCAAAAUAACAAAGUGGAUUUGAGCUAAAAAAUGAUGGGAACAUCACAAGCCAAAAACAACAUGAAAAAGACAAGAAAGGCUGAAGUUAGUCACCUCUAAGCGCGAAGAGACGAUGACGGAGUCGAAGAAGAUCAACAAUGGGCGUUGGAGAUGAAGAACAAAUGAAGAACAAGCAAGAAGAAGCUCCAAGAACAACAAUGGUGCUCUCGGUUUCAAAUGGGCAGAGGGGAGGAGGGAGCCGGCCUAUAAACUGGACCUUUAGCACCGGUUCAGGGAAAAAACCGAUGCUAAAGGGUUACCUUUUAGCACCGGUUUGUAACACAAACCGGUGCUAAAGGGUUUGCCUCGGCCCGUGGCUCUGGCCGGUGCUAAAGGGACCCCUUUAGCACCGGUUUGUAACACGAACCGGUGCUAAAGGGUCUCUGCCCCGACAGCACAUGUCAGUAGCCGUUGGGCAGGACCCUUUAGCACCGGUUCGUGACACAAACCGGUGCUAAAGGGGUCUUUAACCCCGGGCCGCAAAAAGGCCGAGGUUUUUGGCCAUUUUAGGCAUCGACCAAUGCCUCAUUCUGUAGUAGUGCUAGUACCAUUUGUAAGUUUCACAAUGAUUUUAUUGUAAAACCAUGUAAAUGAUAUCAUCAUAAUCCGAAAAACAUAUAUAAUAUGAUAGAUUUUUAAACAUUACCAAAAUUUGCAGUUAUUACCGGCACAAAAAUAACUGUUAUCUACUAAUAAAGUAUGCAGUAUUCGUAAUAAUAACGAAAAGAGAGCUAGUACAUCAAUAUAACAUGUUUGAAAGGUCGAACAGUAUGAAAACAAAAUGGAAACAGUUCUGCUGGACUACAACUUAGUCAAGUCUGUGCACUGCAUUCUCUUGACCAUCCAUUAACUACUUUUCUUCCCUCAUUUCCUCCAUUCAUUUCCUUAUCUAUACUCCGUUGCUGUGCCCUCUCUUCCACUCAAUAUAUAUACACACAGGUCUGCAGCUUUUCUCAAAUUGGUACUGUAAAUAAAUUCUUGGCAGCCUGUUCCUUCAUCAAAGCUAAGUCCCAGGUUUGCUGAUCAAUUAAUCCACCUACUAUGCAAAAGUAGUGCAGAAACCUAGUCAUCUACUAUUUGCAGUCUACCUAGCUAGCUUUCUAAUCCAAUCUUAUCAUUCUUGUAUCUGAUGCAGGAUCAGAUAGCGUUUCUCAAACUGGUUGCUAGCUCAUCAACUCAAGAUUAUGGCUGAUGAUAUGGUCGUCACGCAGCAUCAGGUGGAGGUGGAGGUGGAUGGGUUGCCAACUGAAAUGGCCAAGCACGGCCUCCUUCGCUACAACUCUCCGUUGGCACAGGUUUUCCUGAUAGGUCUGGUGUGCUUCUGCUGUCCCGGCAUGUUCAACGCGCUCUCCGGCCUCGGUGGUGGUGGUCAACUCGACCACGCCACCAUCGACAAGGCCAACACUGCCCUCUACACCUGCUUUGCCGUCUUCGGCGUUGUCGGUGGUGCAGCUCACAAUCUAUUUGGCCCACGCAAUACCCUUCUCCUAGGUGCCCUCGCCUACCCACUCUAUGCCAUGUCCUUUCUUUACUACAACCACCACCACACAAACACCUUCGCCGUCAUUGCCGGGACCCUCCUUGGUGCUGGCGCAGGCCUCCUCUGGGCUUCCCAGGGUGCCAUUCUAACCUCCUACCCACCCGCAGACCGCCGCGGCACCUACAUCUCUAUCUUUUGGUGCCUCUACAAUCUUGGAGGCGUGUUCGGAGGAUUGUUUCCUUUCUCUUUCAACUACCACCGUGGUAGCCGCAAGGCUGCAAGCGUUAACGACGGAACUUACAUUGCGUUCAUGGCCUUCAUGCUCAUCGGAGCUGCACUCACCCUCCUCAUCUUGCCGCCCAACAAGAUCGUCCGCGAUGAUGGAAGCAAGGCCACAGGGUUCGCGUACUCAGUGGCCAAAGAGGGCACUGAGAUCCUCAAGCUCUUCACCAAUUGGAAGAUGUUGCUCGUGCUCCCUGCUGCCUGGACCAGCAACUUCUUCUACACCUACCAGUUCAACAAUGUCAACGGUGUCCUCUUCACUCUCCGCACCCAGGGCCUCAAUAACGUCUUCUACUGGUGCGCACGAAUGGUAGGCUCUGCCGGCAUCGGAUACUUGCUUGACUUUGGCUUCGCUAGCAGCUGCAGGAAGAGGGGGCUCAUUGGGGUCACUAUUGUCACUGUGCUUGGCACUGCCAUUUGGGGAGGAGGCCUCGCCAACCAGCUCAGGUACAGGGAUGGACAGUGGCAAGAAGAGCUUAUUGACUUCAAGGAUGGACGACGAUACGCUGGCCCUUUUCUACUCUUCUCCAGCUACGGGCUACUGGACGCCAUGUUCCAGAGCCUCGUCUAUUGGAUCAUUGGCGCCCUAGCAAAUGAUUCGCAGAUGCUCAGUAGGUAAUAAAUCCAAUGCAACUUAGUUUCUUUUCAUCAACUCACGGUCAUUUAAUUUCUCCUCAAAGUUUGAACCAUUUUAGUUUACAUUCAAUAGCUUCCCGUACUAGAAAAAUGAACUAGCCGCUAGUUUUAGGGCUUGUUUGUAUGCACUUGUAAUUAUCUCAACUCAUGUGUACUACAGUGAAUUGAAGUUAAAAUUAAUUAAUUUUCAAUAUUAUCAGUCCACCCGAAUAUAUGCCUAGAUUGAGGUGACUAUGAGUGUAUUGGAACAACCAUCCACAUGACAUCUCUGAGGUAUGUGCAGCAAAGAAUUAUGGCACCAGACUUGCUAAAAUUCCGAUGAUUAUUGCAUAUAUUUUACACCAAAUAAAAUCAUAGCUCUAGUUUGUUACAGUUUGCAAUUUUCGGUUCUGAGGAUAAAAAAUCUGUUAGACAAAACACUAAACCCCACAAAAUCUGAUUUGUGCUGGCACAAAGAUAAUUGACAAUUUACAAAAUUGUUCCUAUAGUUGGACAAGGAAUUUUUUUUUGAUAUAUUAUGAUACAAAGACGAAUAACAAAUUUUUUAAAAAGAACAAUUUACAUGACUAGAUGGAUCAUAUUGGAAUUUAAGAACUGUUCUAUAAAUCUUGGUUCGCUUCAUGUAACAACAAAUUAUAAAAACUCUUGUUUUGGAUGCGGCUUGCAAGGGGCACAAACCUCUAAUGUGAAAACCGAAUUCUGGAUCAGAUCUUGAUCCACUUCAAGCUUAAUUAGAUAUAUAAUAGCAUGCACUAUGCAACAAAGCCACUAGACAAACCACCCUGCAAAGCUAAGUGGGAAAAACAACAAAAAACCUCAUCCGAUCCAUGCCGGUACAUUCAGCUUUUCGUGUGACAGCACAAAGCGGCAGUUGCUAGAGCUGUUAGCAACAUUUUAAUUAUUAAAACAAAUAAGUAAAUUACCUCUAAUCUUAUCAUUAAUUGCAAAUAGAUGAGAGGUCUUGAUAUAUAGGAGAUUCUACUGGCACUAUAUACUGGUUUUUGGUUGAAACUUCCUUGUUAAUAUUGAUAAAAAGUCAUUCUUACUUGGACUCUAGGCCUUAUUUGUCCUAGCUCUGGCUUUUGAAACCUAUUUCUGGUAAAACUGCUUAUUUUGUGUCAGAAACUUCUUUGUCGUUUUGUAUAAAGUAGGUCAAAUUUAAAAAGACUUAAUGAUAAUUCUUGGAAUCAAUUUAUUCAGGAUGGAGGGAACACUAGCUUUUGGAAUCUAGUAUUAGUAAAGACAACUUUUGGUUCAACACAUACGCCACCAUGUCAUAAUAGUCGCCAACCUAUUUGUUAGUUAGAACCUUUAUAUAGCUAUCAGGCCCGGCUUGUAAAUGUCUAAUGACAGCGAAGUGUAAAAUAUCAUUCUUUCAGUAAAUCUCUCUCUUUCUUCUACCUCCAAAAAGUAACUUUCAAGUCUCUUCCCAUAUAGAUAUUCCAGAUCAUCCUUGAGAUGGAUAGCUUGGUAACUUCUGAGUUGCAGAAAAGGGUUGGCAGUUUUUUUUCUCAAAAGAUAUUCUGAUCCACUUCAUGUAUACGUGCAGAUAUGUUGGGUUCUACAAUGGGGUACAGAGUGCUGGAGCUGCUGUCGCAUGGCAAAUCGACAUGCACAAGACUUCCCUAAUAACCCAGCUGAUUGUGAACUGGGCACUUAUGACUGUCAGCUGCCCGUUGCUGGUCCUGCUGCUGUUAUUGGCUGUCAAGGACUAGGAUAACGAGAGAGAUCAUAAGUGGUAUUAGGAAGGGAACAUUAUAUUGGGAUGAUGCCCAAAAUAAGUCAAUAAUAACAUCUUAACAACAACGGCAUGCACAGUUUGUAACAUCAAGAAUUGAAUAAAGUAUCUCCAUCGUUUCUUGUUCAACACAUAUCAUUUUGGAGGCAUCUAUGUGUUGAACUGUGAAGCAUUCAAGUUAGGCGUUCUUUGGCUGUCAUGGAUGAUAUAGGAAGAUUCAGUUUGUUCAUUGGACUUGGAGAACACGGUAAGGAGGGAAAUACUAGGCUAUCUGCAGUUCCGCACCAACAACAGCAACCACAAAGCAUGUAAAACAAAAAAGGGCAUUUGUUUUCCGCGCGGUCUCUAUACAGAGAAGGACAGAUGGCCUAGCUCGAGCCUGUGGUGAUGCAGUCUCAAGACUUAGGACGACGGAGAAGCGCGGUGGCGUGUGCAUGCCGUCUCACUUCACUUGGUUGAAGAAGACGGCGGCGGAAGCCUGUGCUCGGGUCAGGGAGGGAGCAAGGGAAAAAAAAUUUCUGUGCCACCACAGCACACGGUGCCAGGUCGGACACGGCGUAGACCGCUACCGUGUGUGUCCCAAACUCCAAUCCAAAUUAAAACACUUGCUGCAGGCAUGCGGCUCCACAUGGUGUUGGACUCGGCUCUCCUCAGUUUAAAGCAGUUGCAUGGGAUACCAAUGUGCCCGUUUUUUUUUCUAAAAAAAGUUAUAUUUAGUUUUACAAAAUGAUUUGACUGAUCUUUACGAGAUGCUCUAAACUAGAAAAACUGCUACGGUUUUGCAGCACAAACUCUCUGCUUCGCGAGUGAGUAGAUGUCUUGUGAUGAUGGUGGGGAUUUAAGUAGCCUGAACUCAUGUCCGCACGCCUCGCCAAUGUGCGAUUGCGAGACAAGAAAGGGCAAGAGGGGAGAGACACAGCAAAAAGGAGAGGAAAACUGAACUAUUCCUUAAUUAAAUUACUCCGUCUGUUACAACUCCAUAUUUAACUCUCUAAGAGUCCAACUAAACAAGGAAAUUGUCUAAACCCGAGCCUAGCAAACCGAUGCAGAGACAACCACGAUCUCGACGUGCACGACCGUGUAUGUCGUUCAACGUACGACUCUACCCGUGUGCAUUGGGUCUUCUGGUUCUGCAUGAUUUCUCCUGUUCCGCCUUGCAAACUUCUUGUAUGACAGUAGAAGCUAUCAUCACUUACACCAACCUGCAUAAAAGAAAUGAAUGGCAUGAAUAUCAUUAUACAUUUCAAUGGCAUGAAUACAUUUCCUUGAUAUAAAUGCUUAUGUACUUAAAGGAAAUGAGCAGCGGAAAUAAUACCAACUAAGACAUUUUCUUUUGAAUAUAUGAAGAAUUAGCAGGUGAUUUCAAGCUACCGGAACUUGUAUAGUUACUUGCAAUAGCAGUAUUUUCAGCAAAGUGGUCUAAAAAAGUACACUACUGAACACACCUGCACUGAGAGCUAAAGAUAAUGUAGUAACUGGUUCCGUGUCCACUGAUUGGACAUGAUUUUGCGAUGGUAUGUGGUGAUUAUUUCCAUGCACUUGUCCUUGAUCACCUGAUACCGGGUCACCUACACCAACCUGCAUAAAAAAUGAAUGGUAUGAAUAACAUUAUACAUUUCCUUGAAAAUAAAACCUAUGUGCUAUUGUUCUUAACUGCUUAUAGGAACAAGUAAUAAAUGACCAGCGGAAAUAAUACCAACUAAGACACAUUUCCUUUAGAAUAUAUGAAAAAUUAGCAGAUGAUCUCUAGCUACCGGAACUUGGUUACUUGCAGUAGCAAUACAGCAAAAGGGUCCAAAAUAGUACAAUAAUUAACACACCUGUAACGACAAGGUAGUAUCUGGUUCCAUGUGCACUGAUUGGACAAGAUGUUGUGAUGGUAUGUGGUGAUUAUUGUCAUGCACUUGUCCUUGAUCACCUGAAACCAGCUCACCUACACCAGCCUGCAUCAAAAAAGAACGGCACGGAUGACGUUAUACAUUUCCAUGAAAAAUUCUUAUGUGCUUAAAGGAACUAGAUUCGAUGACACACUAAUUAGUUGAAUUGGAAAAGAUAUCAUUGGUCUGAUCAUGGCUUUUGUGGUUUGCGGAAGCAAUUUUAUCCAUAAGUUUGCCUUCCUUUCAAAUAAAAUUAUGAGUAUUGUGUUUCCACUUUACUUCAGCAUCCUCUACUAGAAAGUUGGAGAUAAACCAAACAUAUUGAUUGUUCUACAUGUCAUAAUAGAUCUAUUAAAACAGAUUGGUAUUUCGUUUUUAAUAAAAAAGAAUGGUGAAAAUAGCCUGGGUGGUGAAAAGAAAGGAGUAUUUCAUGCUUAUUUGUGAGUAUGACUAGCUAGUAGCUUGCAUAAUUACAGUGCAAGAGUGUCAAAUAGAGACAUAAUCAAAAGCAUCUCAAGCAAACUAAUAUAUUGCUAAUUUUGUUCAAUAUAGUAUAGAGGCUUAAUAAAAACUCCUGAUCCAGAAUUAAGGCAACAACUAGCAAAAUUACCUCCUGAAACAUGUUUGGAGGUGCAAACUUGCACUGAUCCUGACCAUGAGCCUGCCUCUGCGGUCGGUGCUGCUGCUGUUGCACCAUGUUGACAGUAGCUGCAGUGACCGCCGCAGCACCAGAGACACGAAGGAUAUUUGAUGUCGCCUCUGAGGUCACCUCUACCUUUUCAUUGUUAUGUUCUACUUCUACCAUUGUUGCAUCAGGGCAACGAUAAAAGACCUUGGACAGGACCAGCUCCCCAUCCUUCUCGUCAUCGGCAUCGCUCAUGCCGAGGUGGUAUUGGUGCAUAAUCCAGUUGGUCUUCUCCCGCAUCCCUUGCUUGAUAUUGUGCAACACCAGAAUCUUUUUGCACCCCUUCUGCCUACCGCCCACAAUCACAGCAUGUGUCCUGCCAGUUUUGUGCCAAUGCGCCUCCCCAGCAUCUUCACUGCUGCGCUGGCCGCGCUCUGACUGGAUCUUUCUCCUCUUUCUUGUGCCAGUUGGAUAGGCCUUGGAUGUCUUGUGGAAGAAAUGCUUGCUGAGGCCAUCUUUUGCCACACCUAGACAUGAACAAUUAGCUAGGUAUAAGCACAAGGGUUUGAGCAUACAUGAUAUAGAACAAAUCCAGACACAUAUGUUUAUACUGUUGUAAUACUGCAGAUAUAAGUGAAAUGCUUCAAAUAUAUUUAAAAAUUUAAAAAAUCAAAGUCUGAAAAUAAUAAGUAUACAUCUCAGAGAAACGCCAUAUAUAGAACAAGCAUGUUUACACAAAUAAACAAAUAGCAAUUGAAUGGUAGCAAGGAACCAUAUAUUGGUAUAUAUCUAUAUCUCGAAUAAACUUGAGAAGCAUCUUCCAAUAUACUCCGUAAGCGAUCUCACCGGGGAGAUUUUCAGGAUGGGUGUAGCAAAUGUCAUUGCCUCCUUCAAUGGUUGAUAUGAAGUGACUUAAGAGAGGGUGUGCUCUGGAGCCUCCUCCUUCCUUCACCAACACCAUGGACUCUAGGUGCUCUAUGAGCUCCUGGUCCGAUGGAGCAAACUUGACACCGGCUGGAAAUCCAGCCAAAUUCUUUUUGCAAUCGCAUGCAUGAUUUCAAAACACAUGUAUGAGAGUUCAGAAGAAAGGUUCAAUUGCUGAUGCACACCCCAGAAAUAAUUAAUUUAGCAUACCAGAUUGCAGUUAGGGCAGGCGAGGGAAGCUGUGGCUUCGGUGUCGUUGCUGCCGUUCGUGGCGCUUGAAUCUCCCCUGAACAAGAAAGGAUAUUGAUGAUGAGAAGACUGAAGUAAGAAUUAAUUUACAGGUAAAAACAACAUGCUCAGAAAGGAAAAGAAAAACAUCGCAGAGCACAACAACCUAGCUAGCACUCCAGAAACCAACUACUAUACGCUCUAGGGCUCAAAACGCGUUUAUCUGAUUUCUAUUUUGAACACAAAGAUUUGUUCCCUAAAGCUAUGAACGGCAUCACUUCCCACUGCAAGGAUCCUAGAAAGGGGCGAAAUUAAAGCAGCAUUCAGACUCAUAGUCUCAUACAGUGGAGACCGGAAAGACAAGGAAGCUGGCAACGAAUUGAAAACUGGCAGAUCCGAAUAGACUAGAUCGCUUUGGCUAGUACGAUUCAGAACAGAUCGAGCUAUACGUAAAUCAUGGACAAGGCCGCACGGUGGGGAUCGAUCUGAUGAUCCUAGUAAGGAAAACAGAUCGAGAAACGCACGAGAUGGAUGGAUCGAGAGAAAAAUUAAAGCGGGAAUAUGGAAAAGGAGCUCGGCGGCUCACAUGGCGUCGGCGGUGCUUCGCGAUGCAGCUCCGAUCCGAUCGCUGCAGUGGACAGCCGGAGGGGAGGGGAACGAGCGAGGAGUCGGAGAACACCACCCAAGCAAAGCAGCUGUUUCUCCAGUGCUCACGGUGAAGCAGUGAAGGACUCAAGGCGGAGGCAGGCCUUUGUGAGCGAGGAAAGAUGAUAUCGACGGCGUGGCGUGGGGGGUAGGUGUGAAAGGGGAGGAUCUCGUGGGGCCGCUUCUCUGCUGGGUGGGGACUGCAGACUGCUGUUGCCAACGUUCCAACUGGUGGGCCCGAGAAGCAGUGACAUAAGCAUGACCGUGGGGACUAAACUGACGCAUACCUAAGUUUUAAAAAAAAACACCUGAGGGCAACGAAAGCUAGUCGGCAGUCUACCUUGGGGUAUACCCACGGUAGUAGUUUAUCGGUAGACGGUGCGCAAGCUACGAACUUGAUGGUGACGCAAGACACGGACAAGGUUUUUAUCCAGGUUCGGCCGCCGUGUGGGCGUAAUACCUACGUCCUGCGUCUGAUUGUAUUGGAUUGUAUUGAGAGAAUAAUGUGUGUUGUGUAUGACUUGUCCUCUAGGGGACCCCUGCCCCUCCUUAUAUAUCCUGAAGGGACAGAGUUACAAGCAAAGUAUCCUAUUUAGUACAAUAUCUUGUAGCCUUGCGGUGCACGCCGACCAGUCGUGCGCCGCACGUCUUCAUCCUGUGGGCCGAGCCACCUCUGAUGGUGCGGCCCAUAUAGGCCUAUUAGGGUAUAGGGGUUUAUACCUCCACAGCUAGUCCCCGAGCACCAUGUAUUGUGAUGUAACACGCUGUCUUGAGCUUCUUCGAUCAGUGAGGCUUGACGUCUUCAAUAAGCAGGAAAGUCGCCAAAAUAGUUGCAACGAUAUUUUGACCAACUCAAGAGACAGUUGAUCAACAUUGACAUCGAAGAAGUAGGUUGUUCGAAGAAUGCAUGGUGCUCUUAAUCAAAAAAGAUUUCUUUCCAGGUGAAGUGUGCCCACUUUACUUUUCUGAAAAGUACAGACUUUCAAAAAGCAAGCAUGUUCACCGCAAGGUGAAGUGUGCCCACUUAGUCCCCGAGCCUGGUAGUAGGUGACGUAGGCACGUGGUGCCAGGGUCAAAAAAAAGUCUUCAUAGAAAUUCUAAAACUGAGAUGCAUCGCCAGAUGCAUCAUACCGAUGUAGUCCCCGAGCUUGCUAGAAGGCGAAGUAUGAGCCUUGUAGCAAGGUCUAAAAAAUAAAAUUACCCCUCAGUUGUAUAUGAGUCCAAUUCAUAUGUAACUGAGAAGAACAGUCCCCAAACUGUGGUUGGAGAGUGAUCGAAGUAAACCCCGAACACAGUGAAGGGAGUGAGACGAGUCCCCGAGCACGGUUGAGAAUGUAGACGUGCUCGGUGGUCGGUAUAGUCUCCGAGCACGGCGUAGGGACCGGUGGACAAGUCCCCGAGCGUGGUUGGGAACGUAAACGUGCUCGGUGGUCGGCACAGUCUUCGAGCAUAGCAUAGAGAGUAGUCGACAAGUCCCCGAGCGUGGUUGGGAACGUAAACAUGCUCGGUGGUCAGAGCAGUCCCCGGACACAGCGUAGGGAAUAGUCGACGAGUCUCCGAGCGUAGCUUGUCGACUGGGCCAAACUCCUGAAAAAUAAAUAUAGAGAAUAGGUAGUACAUGAUGUAUAAAUAAACUCUAGAUAAAAAAUCAGCACUGAGAUAAGUUUUAGAUUUUUUGUUAUAAAAUUAGCACGAGUAGUUAAUUCAUCCUAGAGCUUGUACCAGCUCUGGUCUAGCCAACACUCAGCAUGAGGUGCGGAACCUAGGCACGCGUAAGAUUGUCAGCCACGCCAGAGAGCUACUGCCGACCACCCGGAACGCAGAGGGCGGAUCUCGUGCACGUGUAGGGAGGAGUCGGAGACACUACCGGCUCUAGAAAGCUCGUGUAGGAGAAAAAACUAGUCGGCUAACAAAAAAGUUGUUUUGAAGAAUAAAAAAUAUUAUGCCAAAAAUAAAUAAAAUAUUAGAAGUGUACUUAUCUUUGGACAGAGAGCUGCUUGACUUGUUGUCGUGACGGUGGUCACGGUUGUCGUAGCGCCGUUCUUCGCGGCGAUUAUUAUUGCGACUCGUGGUCAGAGCAAGUAGGCCAACCACAACUUGGUCGAUAGCCUGAGCAGGUCGGUGUCGUCGAUCUGCCUCCCUUUGUAGCAGAGAAGCGGCGACGCGUUGUCGGCGUAGUCGGAGACGUUGCUGGUGUGGUCGAAAUCGUAGCCAGCGUGGUUGGAGCCGCGGCCGACGUCGAUGAAGAAGUGAUUGGCGCAGAUCGGAUCUACGCCUCCUCCAUGGUCGUGGCGGUGAAGCUGUCGAAGCCGAUGACGAACGUGAAGCCGUCCGCCACAGCCACGAAGUUGAGGAUGAUGACCAUCUUGUUCGUCUGGAGAGCUGUACGCACACCCCCUACCUGGCGCGCCACUGUCGACGAAAGCUAGUCGGCGGUCUACCUUGGGGUAUACCCACGGUAGUAGUUUAUCGGUAGACGGUGCGCAAGCUAUGAACUUGAUGGUGACGCAAGACACGGACAAGAUUUUUAUCCAGGUUCGGCCGUCGUGUGGGCGUAAUACCUAUGCGUCUGAUUGUAUUGGAUUGUAUUGAGAGAAUAAUGUGUGUUGUGUAUGACUUGUCCUCUAGGGGACCCCUACCCCUCCUUAUAUAUCCUGAAGGGACAGAGUUACAAGCAAAGUAUCCUAUUUAGUACAAUAUCUUGUAGCCUUGCGGUGCACGCCGACCAGUCGUGCGCCGCACGUCUUCAUCCUGUGGGCCGAGCCACCUCUGAUGGUGCGGCCCAUAUAGGCCCAUGAGGGUAUAGGGGUUUAUGCCCCCACAGUUGGAGGUACUAAAAUUUAUCAUGUACUGUAGUUCUUUUGUUUUUUAUAGUUUUUAUCUAAUCAUGAACUAAUUAAUUAGGCUUAAAAGAUUCGUCUCGCAAAUUAUUUUCUAGCUAGUUGUGUUUUUAGUUUCGUAAAUAAUUUAUAUUUAGUACUCUAUGUAUGUGUCCAAACAUUCGAUGUGAUGGGUGCUAAAAAAGUCAACACAAACCAAACAUGGCCUUAAAUGACUUGCCAAGACCUAACUCUAUUUAUCAUGUUCAUAUCUUGAAGAAUGUGGCCAAACUUGGAAAAUCAAUAUAGUCUAUUUGUCAAAUAAAGAAAGCGGCCUGCCUUCGCAUCAUACGGCGACUCGACGGCAACUUAGUCACCGUCGCCGAAACCUCCCACCGCACAUGCUCUUUGGCCGUCGCCGCCGCUCCCCAGCUAGCAGGGUGGCGGCUCGUGGCGACGUCUACAAAGGCCUCCCUCCCAGUACACUCCACCUCCUCCCUCAUCUCCUCUCCUCAUUUUCCCAUGUCGAACUCUAGCACAUUAGCGGCAAGGAUGACCGAUGGCGAGCAGGGUGGUUGCCAACGUGCCAAAUCCGUGCCCCCUAGGAUUGGAUAUGGCGAUCCCAGUACCAGAUUUGGCUACACGGUGCACAAUAGGUGAACAUGUAUGGCGGCUAGCGGGUGCGCUUGCAGAGGCAGGCGGCGAUCGGCGGCAGAACACCGAGCGGUUAGGCGGCCUCACCCCCCAUGCAUGCUAGCCUACAGCGGCGCAGUAGGCAGACUGAGCAGAUCAAGCCCCCUGUGUUCAGAUGUUGCAUCUGCACCCCAUGCUCGCACAUCCUCCAUAGCGAACGUUAGUAUUUUGGGUUUGGGCAGCUAUUUCUUGCCGGGCCAUGGUUGGUCUAGCUCCAAAUGAACUUGUCGUGUGGCUUGUAGGGGUUGGCCAGGGCUCAUGCUGGAAACUGCAAAGGGCUCUAGCCAUGGCUAGUGUGGCUGGCAGGGGCUGUGGCUCCCGCGCACCUCGCUCGCGCAGCCCGCUAAUGCCCCUCAACGCUAUAGGAAUCUUGCGUCGAUGGUCUACCUACUCAUAAUGGAAUACUUGGACGUAUAGCUCUGUGUGUUAGGCAUCUACAAGGCUCUAGAAUUGCUAUUCCUCUAAGACAAGUACUCGUCGUCGACAAGUUUGGCAUGCUACGUUGCGCUUUGGGUUGGCUUCCAUAGUCAUAUGGAAUCUAGGUGAAAACCCUACCUAUCUAUUGUUGGAGACUCAACUACGCCUUCACCCCCAGCUGCGUCAAAGAGAGGAUUUAGCUCAAUCGCAGGAGCCAAGACCUCCGCAUCCCUGACCUUCAAACGAUGAGGGACGAAGGUCCCGAGCGAACUUAGCAUUGAUACAGAUUGUAUGGUGAGUCAUGUGUGCAGGAACCGACCUAGCGCGGAGGAUCACGGGAGAAGAAGGGCACAUCCUUCGUCUCUUGCGCGAUGAAGGACGUGUUGAACCCGACCAGGGAUGAGCUGAGGAACCGUCAGGAGGCAGACGGAGAUCCCUUGGCGGUUGCACGGCGGAGGAUCUAUGAGCCUUGGCGAAGGUUCGAGUUGUGGCAAGACCAGGACUCCAACGUGGUGGUGUGUGAAGAGCCUGCAGUACAAAAUUACUCAAGUAGCCCUAUGAGUUGUAGACUGCAAUGACGGAAUAUGCUAGAAUAUCCCGCCACCGUCAUGGGGUUUUUUCUAAUGGAUCUCGGUCGGAGUCCGCGCCCUAUAUAAGUGGGUUGUAAAUGCUUUUGCAAGAGUUAGUUGAAAUCAAUUAUUGGUACAGUGCUGAUCCUAGGGUUUCGAGUCAGAAUGUUGUAAACUCAAUCCACUCGCGGCAAUGAGCGGGUGGACCCGACUGGUUACACCGAUUGGAGGCGCUGCAACUUCUUCCAACAGCUAUUACUCCAUAUCCCUCCCUAGAUACGUUGUUGUAGAUUUUAGUUUGUGCCAUAGCAAAAUCCAUUCCGAGUUUGUUGCUUCAGUAGGGAAGGUCUCAAGGCAAAAGGCUUUAUGAGCCUAGUGCUUUGGUUAUCAAUGGUGGCAUCCAUGGAUGUCACUUCCCUUCUUGAAGGCACUAAUACAAGUAGACUAAUCUUGUCCACGCCUAGCACAUCCCUGUGUUGUCCCGUCCCAUCUCAUUAUUGGUCUGACUACCCUCCCACCACUUUGCUUUUGCACACACUAUUUGUUGUUGGGCGUUCCCCAUCAAUGAAUUGCUCUAUCAUCCUCUAGAUCACUUGAGUGCUUCAUCUCAUCAUAUGUUGGGUUGUGGGAACCUUGAUCUCCUCCCCUAUAGAUCUCCCCAUUCUCCUCCAUAUCGUACUCUUCCUUUGGGACUUCCUUCCCCAAUGGUACGGUGCAUGUUGAUGUCAGUUGGACCCUAGAUGCUUUGACAGGCGAUGCAACUCAUGGUUGUCACUUGUUUGUUUUGACUCAAUGCCCUACAACUACACUGUUGUUAUCUGUCGUUGGACAUGACUCAUUUUAGCUGCUAGUGGACAAGAGGUCUUUAUAAUUUUUCAUUGGUGGUGGCAAAGGUUAGGAUUGUGGUACCCGCACUAGCUCUAGAUGUAGGUUGAACAUAUAGGUGAACCAUGUUGUUGUAUUACUUUUGUUUUUGUUGGUGUUGUAAUCCUCCUCUCUCCAACCAUGUCAUGUACUUUUGUAACCUUCAAGCAUGGUCCCUGUAAUAGGUGCUUUGCAUCCUCCAUUCUCGGCCUCGCAGGUACCAAUGGAAGAUUAUUUAGGUGGAGUUAUCACACCUCUUGUGACUUAAAAAAACUUGAAGUGCUAGCUUAACAAAAGAAACUCGUAGAACACAGAACUUGUUAAUUAGGAAUUAUAAAUGGUAAGCAGGAUGGGAGUUUAAAAUGGCAAGAAUUAUAAAUGGUAAGUGGGAAGAGAGUUUAUAUAUAUAUCUUUGUAUGUGGUUGUAACAAUCCACUUCCAAAACUCUUAUAUGUCCUAGCUCUGCACGUGGAACGGGCCUACAUACGCGUAGCACCUCUUUUACACGUUCAUCCUCGUUUCGUGUAAAAGAGUUAACCUAGAGGUGCUACGUUUGGAACAAUAAGACUUAUAAGUUGGCUGGCCUUUACCCUCUUAAACUUCUAAGGUAAUCCUAAACUCACCAACAACAACUUCACAUGUGCCACUUGGGCUACAUGGGCCAACUACACAACUAUAUAUUACAUGCUAUUAAUGGGUUGAGGUAUUACAGUGGUGAUAAACUAAACUAGCGAUGCAUUUUCUUAUUAACUGGAUUAAUUUCCUAUAGAUAAGCUAUUAAUAUAUUAGAUCCUCACUACCCAACCUGAAUUACCUCAGAGUGAUAGGAAUUUGAGGGCCAAAACAAAACCACCAAGGAAAAUAUUGUUUUCUUGGCGGUGCUAGUGAACUCUCAAGUAAACCUAUGUUCCUUAGAAGUUGAAAUCAACUGCCAAGGAAUAUGGGUGUUUCCUUGGCAGUUUCCAAUCACCUCCAAGGAAAUGACAUAUUUCUUGAGUGCUAUUCUUUUCCUCCAACAAAAUUAUCAUUUGCUUAAGUGUUGUUAUAAACCAUCAAGAAAAUUAUCAAGAAAUUAUACUUUUUCUUGACUGUUGUUGCAAAACCUCUAAAGAAGUUGCCUGUUUUCUUAGGUUUUGCUUUUAAACUGUAUGGCAAAUUAAAUCAUAUUCUCUUUUUUAUAUGUAUUCCUCUAGAGUAUCACAAUUACCGAGGAGCUUAGCACCAACGGUUCUAAACAUAUCGCUACUGGCGUUAGCCACCACCACUAGUGUGACACUAGUGUGAAAGGCCAGUGGAAAUCACAAAUAUUACUAACGGUUACUUAAGAUGCACCAGUGUUAAUAUAUUUGUACUGGCGGUUCAUUUAAGUCAACCACCAGUACUGAUUGUAUGUACAAGCUGUUCACAUAAGGCAUCUGCUAGUGUAUAUAUCUUUGUAAUACCCGUGUUUUUGCAUCAUGAGGAAAAACCACUAAAAUUUUGAACCAUUUAAGAUUUUACAACAAAUUAAAAUCCUGACCAUUUAUUUUCCUACAAACCCUUUUUAAAAAUAUUUUCCAAAACCUUGCAUUUAAAAUUUCACCAUAUGCAUUUGUGCCUAAGAUGAUUGUUGAAUGCUUGCUUUAUUGUUUGAAUUGCUUGCUUGUAUGAUUGCAUGUGUGUUGCCCAAUAAUUUAUUUUAGCAUCAAACGAUCCUCCUUCACAUUUCCCUUUUCAUUCUCCACCAAAUACUCCUCCUUGACCUCCGCACAAAAUUUACCAAGCUCCCAGACUUCAAAUCUCCCUUGAAUUUCAAUUGCAUACAUGUGCCUUAGUUUAUUUAUAAAAAAUACAAGGGAAUUUCAUAAACAGAAAAUGACCAUGGGUUCAUUCUCCCUUGCCUCCCUCUUUGGCCUUUGCCGCGGCCCACCCCUCCUCCCUUCUUCUCUGCACCAGGCCAGCUCACGACAAGUUUCCCCUUGUCCCCUCUCUUGUUUGGGCUGGCCCACUCACACACCCCAAUAGCAUAGUAGCACCCCUUCUCUCCUUCCCUCUCACCAACACCAUGACCCUACAUGUCACCUCCUUCUUCCCUAACGUGGGCACUUUGCCGCAUUCACUGCCAAUGCUAACCUCGUAUCCACCUAAAGAUGUGAUCGAGGACAUUGUGGACCCUGGUUGUCACACUCCUCUUUCUAGUCAUCAAGUGAGUACUAUGGCUAAGUCAACAUGUUCAUCAACUCACCGAGCCACAGCUAGGGCCGUGCUCUGGGGCAACUCACCGCUAGCCAAGAGACAGACGUGAGAGCGCAUUAUGAACCACCACCUCAGUACAAAACUCAUGUGCAAAGAGAAGAUAUGGCGCAUGCAUGAAUAAUAGAGGGCGCCAGAGAAAUAUCUCACUAGCGACAUGACUUCUCGCCACCUAUAGAUAGGCCUCUCCCCGUGCACCUCUGCUUCAACCCUCAUCGCCACAAGCUCCGCCUAGGUCUAGAACACAUCAUCUCCCUCCACUCAUCCCUCCUCCUUCUUCCUUCCGAGACCUAGGUCAUUCUUCCCUAACUUGGUUCACCGUGUUCACCAUGAGAGAAAGCAUCGAGCUCCCAUUCCCAGCAAGCCAUAUUUCGAUUGGAGUAUCUAGCAAGCUCUUAGGCACCUCCACUUCCUCUACCACUUCUAGCCUCCUCCUACCCUUUCGCAACACUCUAUCACUACAAGCCACCCACUGUGUGUCACCACCACUGCUACUAGCCACUACCAAAGUAGAACCAAGCCAAGCCACCCUCCCUGUACUCACCCACUCUCUUAUCCUGACCACCCGCCAACCAUCCUUGUGCACUAAAAACCCUCAAAGGGGCAUCGGGUCAGCACUGCAUCGCUACUGCAGCCUCAGUAAGAUGCCGCCACCACCUCAAGCACUACCACCACCACCAAUUACCCUAGGCAUUGUAGGAUCACUUCCAAAGCACUGUCCACUAUGUAGGGUCAAGCUUCAACCAUUGUUGCCGCCAGUGUAACUAUCUCUGAUGAACUCUGUUGCGCUGCCCCAUCCCACCGUUGAGCUGAUGUCAUCGUCACUUCGCUGCCUCCUUUCUGACUCUCUUCCUUCUUCUAUCGAUGGGCUUGAGCCAAAUGGGAGGAGAAGGUGACAUCGAUGUGGUGACCCCAUGUGACAACCACCAUGAUCUUCUCCCCUUCCUUCUUGGACUCGGUGCACAUAGACUCAGAGAGAGCAAGUGGUCUACAGAAUAGUGGAAGACUCAGUGCAUAGCACACUAGGAGUAACUGCGCCACAUAAUGCUAGACCCAUGCCUCUGUAAGGUCCAAGUGGCUAGAGGAGGAGUGAAUAUAUAGCCUAUUUAAAAUUCUACAAGCUCAACUAAGCAUGUGUGUUAGAAAAACAAAUGGCGAAGCAAUUCUAGCACUAGCAUAACUAAGUUGUGCAAACCACCUACACAAAUCUAGUACAAGGCUAAACACUAAAGCAAACCAAGGCAAUACCUAGCUCUACUCCUUAACCUGUAAACAAAGCUAUACAAGCUAAACAACUAGCUAGGUAAGCAAGUAAGUAAAGGAGUGAGUGAGGAUUCUUAUAUCUAUGUUGAUGAGUAGAUGUAUAACCAAGAAUCAAUCACAAUUGCACCCACAAGAUGAAAUCUACGGCAAGAUAUGACACAUGAUUUUUUACCGAGAUUCACUUGCUUCCUGGUAAGCUAGUCCUCGUUGUAGCAAGACACCCACUUGAUGAAUCACGAGCUAAAUGACAAUCCAAAGUCAAACCCUCAGCGGGUGCCACACAUCCACUCACAAGAUAGAGAUCCUCCAAGCCACGAGCAAUCCACUAGAGUAGCCAAUUGUGAUCUUCCACGAGGAAGGCUCAAGAAACCCCUCACAAAUCACUUGGUGAAGCUUGAAAUAAUCUCCAAUCACGAGCUCAAUACCACCACUGCUCUAAGUUGUCUAGGGUGUUAGGAAACACCCUAGAGUAACAAGAAAUCUACAACCAACUCAAGGAUCAAGUGGCACUAGAUGAUACUUUUAAUGCACUGCACUUGAAUCUCACUUAAUCUCACUAGGAUGAGCAAUCAAGCAAGGAGAUUAGUAGAGAGGAAGUUCUCUAGCUCAAAAUAUGCCUCAAGUAUUCAGAUUGGCAAGAGAGGACUCCCCAAACCUGGCUGUCUUCUAUUUAUAACAUUCCACUCAUGGGCUAGCCGUUAGGAGCAAAAACAAGAGUGUCAGACGCUUUGACGCUUGCCCGUCAGACACAGCCUCGUGUCUGACGCUUGUCUACCUCACGUGAUAGAUUUCUACCAUAUGUCACUCUUUGAAUGGGACACGUUAACGAAUAGCUGCAACAUGCGUUGGACGUGUUAGACACCCUGCAUUGGAUGUGCCACUACACACCGAAUGCUACUCAGUAAGGAUCAGAAACCCUAGUGCACCCACCUAACACAUCUGAUGCUAGGGGUAUUGGACGUGACCCAGUGUUAGACACUCACUCUCCGCUUGAGCUCGCCACUGUGCCCACGAGUAUCGAAUGCUCCGACGUGCAAGACUAUUUGCACCUAACUAUAUAUAUGCUGAACUCGUUGGACGUGGGCUCAAUGUCCGAUGCUGCCUAAUUGCGCCUAACACUCGCAUGACUUUAUUGAAACUUUCCUCUGGUGUAAUGGAAAAUAGGCAACAUUUUCACAAAAGCGCCAAAUCUCGCCUCGCAAGCUCGGCGGGAGGGAGAGAGGAUCCCAAACCCCUAUCUACCCCUUAAACUUCACCUGCUUUGCAAAUAUGCUAACACCACCAAGUGUACACUACCAUGUGCAUGUGUGUUAGCAUUUUCAUAAACAUUUUCUUCAGAGGAGUUAUGUCAGCAAUCUACUAGAUCCUAAUGCAUACACUCAAGACGUUGACUUAAUAGCACUUGAUUCAAGAGAUACCAUGAUUUCCCCUCUUGAUAGUUGGUUAUCUAUCCUAAAUCCGGCCUAUGGUUAUACAUUUGUCUUGAUCACUUUACUCGUUGUCCAUCACCAAAUGCUUGAUCACUAUGAUCUUCAUUUCCAUGUUCAAGCUCCAUCUCUUUGUGAUCAUGUGGCCACCACUCUAUGCCACUUUGUUUCUUCAUCAUUUGUGUUGCUAUGCUUAACUCAAAUCACUUUAACAUAAUGGCAUUAGCAACUUCGUGUCAUUAAUUACCAAAACCAAACUUGGGCUUUCAGCGUCAGCUAAUGCACCCGAGGAGAAAAUGUUGUGUACACAUGGAGAGUGCACAUAGGAGAGUGAAAAAACACUUUCCAUUCAUAGAAAAAUUCCCAUUUUUUGAGUAAACUAGGUGAUUAUACCCAAGCAUUUACAUCUCAUUUUCAUUAAUCCAAUUUCUAGAAAAAAUUCCCAAACCUAUAUUCCACAUAUGAAUUCCUUAUUAAAUCUUUGAUAAAUCAUAUCUUUUCAUCCUAGCUCCAAAUUAAUUGAUCCCACCACCAAAAUUCCUCUAAAAUCAAGCUCUACUUGUUCAUACUAUCCAUUCUAUUAUUUGGUGCCCAUUUAAAUUGUAGUUUGAUUGCUUUUUUAAUUUAAUUAAAUACUAAUAAUAGUAGUAGCCACCACCGUAGUAGUACUUAACCCUAUAUAUUCGCGUAUGUGCAUGUACCAUGACUCAUACUCAAAUAUAUCUGUACACAAUCACCUAAAAUGAAUAGACAUCUAUACAUACAAGGAUAUGCCCGAUACCCGGGGUAUACGCCUAUGUAUGGCUAACCCUAGCAACCUAAUUACUCAAUUCUACUUAAUCAUCAGUAUAUACAUAUGCAAAUGUGUAAUGCCACUAACCCUAGCCAUAACCUAGGCACCUAAACAACCCUAGGCACAUACAUAUGCAUGUGCAUAUGUGUCACUAACCUGGUGCACCCGUAGGAAUCAGUUGGUCUAGUUAUGAUGACUUGGUCAGACUUUCUCUUUCAGGUUCACAUAAUAGUGAACUUAAUCAUGUGGUCUACCUUCUGUCUUUACAUUAUUUCAGUAAUGAAAGGCGUAUAUACUUGUAGGAACGUUGACUGGCUUUGAGGAGUGCUAACAACUCUGCAAUUACUUUUGUAUGUAUCCAUACGGCAAUAUAAAUACAUAUGCUGUAAUGAAUCUGGAAUGAAAAGAGUGGAUAGCACUGGAAACAGUGGUCCAAUACCUAGUGCGAAAGCAUAAAAACACUUGUUAUUACAUUGUUGCUUCCUAGAAAUUCCAUUCCUUUGUUUCAGUUUAGCUGGUCCAUAUUUUGUGUGUGCAAUGAGCCAAUUAACAGUAUCAGAUGAGCUAAGUUUUUGUUCCAGCACAUACAUAGAUUGAGAAGAUUUUUUAUCUAUUCCAACAUCUAAUGUAAUUUCAGCAUGAAGUAUGUUUCUGUUUAGUUUAUUUGUCAAUUUUUGUUCCAGUUCUAGAUGAGUUAGUUUUGGUUCAGAUUUAAUACUUAUAGCUUUUGCUGAUUGUUUUUCAAGAAUCUGAUAGCCCUAUUGAAAAAACCCUCUACUCUACCCCAUGCAAGAACUACACCAUGUAAUUUGCUAGAAAUAUAAUGAAAUGUGUUCAUAGACACCUUGGAAGAUGGAUUCACAAUAAUUUGAAUGCCUUCCUGAAGAUCUAACUGAAAAGUGUGCUCUCUAAAAUGGAGAAGUAACUAGCAUGACAAUCAAGGAAAUCUAGCCGUCAAAACAAUGGAAAAGCUACAAAUUUAAAGGAGUGGAUGCUUGUUACUAAUGUUAAAGCAAGAAGGUCAUGCGCAUUCUUCAAAUAUAAGACUUCUCUGAGCAUUUUGGUGAAAAAUGGCCACGACAUAUGAGGGGGGAGAGAUGGGGAAAGGUGUCACCUGGAUGAGUGUGCUUGGUAGAAGGAAGGAGCAUGUGGGAUUUUGUACCGUGCAACUAAUGCCGCGGGUUCAAGCCCAAAACCAGUAGUGGUAAGUAUAUCACCACCGGUCGAAGCUACCAGCCAACAAUGAUAGUCUCAGCAUAAAAAACUCGAUAUGCGGGGGGUAAGACAGCCCCCGGGCAUUGCAUUAAGAAGAAGGGCUUCUCACGCAGGUCGAGAAAACCCCCGACUGUCCCGCCCAUACACAGCGGCACCGUAGCCCAUGUGAGAACGACCAUGACUGGGACCGGGCCUUCUUAGACCUGUGCUUUGGCAUUGGGAUAGACGAGGGGAUCUUUUUAACCUUAACCAGGGGAUUUUUUUAACCUUAGCCUGAAAAUUCGCUCCCACGGGAAGUCGAACCCAUGACCUAAGGAGUGCCGCCAGGUUCCUCUAACCAACUGGACUAGAGGCCCUUUGGCUGAUAGUCUUAGCAUCACUGUUGUUGUUUAGACCCCCUGCUCCCCCUCUAAAAAAAAUUAUUUUCAGAUUUUCAAGUUAUGAACUGGUAGUGGAUGGUUAUCAUCACUAUCCAUUCAAGAGCAAUUGGCGGUGAAGAUCAGUUGUGCAUUAGUGAUAAAAGUGUGUUCAACACAAUGUAGCAUAAAAGUGUAUUCAGCACAAUGUAACAUGAAAGUGUUCAGCACAAUGUAGCAUAAAAGUGUACUCAGCACAAUGUAGCAUAAAAGUGUGUUCAACACAAUGUAGCAAAAAAGUGUGUGUUCAACACAAUGUAGCAUAAACAAAUUAAUAAUGUUUUUGCAAAUGCCAAUGCGCCUCCCCAACAUCUUCACUUCUGUGCUGGCCGCGCUCUGACUGGAUCUUUCUCCUCUUCCUUGUGCCAGUUGGAUAGGCCUUGGAUGUCUUGUGGAAGAAAUGCUUGCUGAGGCCACCUCUUGUCGCACCUAGACAUCAACAAUUAGCUAGGUAUAAGCACAAGGGUUUGAGCAGACAUGAUAUAGAACAAAUCCUGACACAUAUGUUUAUACUGUUGUUAUACUGCAGAUAUAAGUGGCAUGCUUCAAAUAUAUUUAAAAAAUUUAAAUAAUCGAAUUCUGAAAAUAAUAAGUAUACUACCCAGAGAAACACCAUAGAACAAGCAUGUUUACACACAUAAAUACAUGGCAAUUGAAUGGUAGGAAUGAACCAUAUAUUGAUGUAAGGGGUUAUACACCAUAUACUCAGACCAAUUGGGUUAUACACCAAUUGAAUGGUAGCAUGGAACCAUAGCAAGGAACCAACGGUGAAACAGACUGGGUGGUGUGAUGAAAGGGUUAUUUUAUGACUAGUAGCUUGUUUAAAUAGUGUGCAAGUGUAUAGAACACAAACAUAUUCAAAAGCAUCGUCCCAAGCUAACCAAUACAUUGCUACUCUAGUUUGUUCAAUAUAAUGCUAGUGGCUUAAUAAAAGUCCUAAUCCAAAACGAAGGCAAAAACAAGCAAAAUUACCUCCUGAAACAUCUUGGCAGGUGCAAACUUGCACUGGCCGUGACUGUGAGCAUGCCGCCUCUGCACUUGGUGCUGCUGCAUUUGCACCAUGGUGAUAGUAGCUGUAGUGACUGCUGCAGCACCAGAGAUAGGGAGGAUAUUUGGUGUUGCCUCUGAGGUUACCUCUACCUUUUCAUCGUUAUGUUCUAUCAUUGUCGUAUCAGGACAAUGAUAGAAGACCUAAUUGGACAGGACCAGCUCCCCAUCCUCCUCCUCGUUCAUGCCGAGGCGGUAUUGGUGUAUAACCCAAUUGGUCUUCUCUCACUCCACAUGCUUCACAUUGUGCAAUACCAGAAUCUUUAUGAACCCCUUCUGCUUACAGCCCACAUUCACCGGACGCGUAUUGCCGGUCCGGUGCCAAUGCGCUUCCCCAACAUCUUCACUGCUGCACUGGCCAUGCUCUGACAUGAUCUUUCUCCUCGUCCUUGUGCUAGUUGGAUAGGCUUUUGUUGUCCUGUGGAAGAAAUGCCUGCUAUGGCCAUCUCUUGUCACACCUAAGGAUGAUCAAUUAGCUAGGUAUAAGCAGAAGGGUGUGAGGAGUCAUGAUAUAGAACAAGUCCUGACACAUGUUUAUAUACUGUUGUAAUAUUGCAUAUAAAGUGACUUGCUUCCAAUAUACUCAGCAUAUUUCACCACUAUACAUAAUCUAAUUCAGAAAACAAUAAGUAUACUACUCAGAGAAAGGCCGUAGAACAAGGAUGUUUACUUGCAUAUUUCACCACUAUUCAUAGCAAACGAAAGGUAGUCUGCCGGAACCAUAUGUAGGAAUAUCUAUGCCUCAAAACUUGAGAAGCAUCUUCCAAUAUUAUCGUGAGAGGUGGAAUAAAUGUGUGUUCAGCACAAUGUAGCAUAAACAAAUUAAUAAUGCAUGUUUUUGCAAAUUAAAAUCCAAUGGAUGAUGUGUGCAGGUAGAGAAUACCAAAUCAUAGAAAGAUGCUAGAUGCAGAUGGGUAGUAGUAUGAAAUUAUGUGUACAUAUAUGUCACAUUACAGAGAUCCAGGUUUUUAUUGAUGUCAACAGUAAAGUAAACUUGAUUAGUUAUGUCACAGAUCAUAUAUACUCCUAAACUAGUAGUUGAUACAUAAUUGUGACAGCAUAUAUACAUGAUGGUGUGCGAGUGUGUGUGUGUGUGUGUGUGUGUGUGUGUGUGUGUGUGUGUGUGUGUGUGUGUGUGUGUGUGUGUGUGUGUGUGUGUGUGUGUGUGUGUGUGUGUGUGUGUGUGUGUGUGUGUGUGUGUGUGUGUGUGUGUGUGUGUGUGUGUCGAUCUCACCAGGGAGAUUCUUAGGAUAGGUGUAGCAAAUGCCAAUGUCUCCUUCAAUGGUUGGUAUGAAGUGAUUUAUGAGAGCGUGUGCUCUGGAGCCUCCUUGUUCCUUCACCAACACCAUGGACUCUAGGUGCUCUAUGAGCUCCGGCCUGGUCCGAUGGAGCAAACUUGACACCGGCUGGAAAUCCUGCGAAGUUCUUGUGUUACAGUCACAUGAUUUCAAAACUCAUGAGAAAUUCAGAAGAAAGGUUAAUUAAUUUAGCAUACCAGAUAGUUGCAGUUAGGGCAGGUGAGAGGGAAACGCUCACGUCGGUGCCGUUGCUGCCGAUCAUGGUGCCUGAAUCUCCCCGGAACAAGAAAGGAUUGAUGAGGAGAUGAUUGAAGUAAGAACUUACAGGUAAAAACAACAUGCUCAGAAAAGAAAAAAAACAUCGCACAUCGAGCACAACAACCUAUAGCACUCCAAAAACGAACUACUAUAUGCUCUAGGGCUCAAAAGACGUAAAUACAACUUGUUAUCUGAUUUCUAUUUUGAUGUUUGAACACACAGAUUGUCCCAGCUCUAUGGAGAGAUCGAGCAUCAUUUACCACUGCAAGGAGCCUAUAAAGGGGUGAAAUAAAUCAAGCAUUCAUAUUAUUCAUACAGUGGAGAUCAGAUAGACAAGGAACCAGGCAAUAAACUGAAAACCGGCAGACCCGAUAGAAUAGAUCACGGAUAAGGCCACAUGGUGGGGAAAACGGGGAUCGAGCACAUGCUCCGAUCGGUGAGUCCUCAUGCUCCGAUCGGUGUGCUUGACGGCCGGAGUGAGGGGAUCGAGCGAGGAGCUAGUGAGGUCAGAGAACACCAGCCAAAGCAAGCAGCUGUUUCUCUAGUGGCCGGGAAAGAUGAUACGUAUCAGGUGUGAAAGGGAAGGAUCUGGUGUGGCCGCUUCUCUCCUCUCUGAUGGGAGGGGACUGGUGUCGCCAACGCCCCAACUGGUGGGCCCGAGCAGCAGUGACAUAAGCAUGAUCGUGGGGCCCAACUGCUGCAUACCUAAGUUUUGAACAAAAUGCUUAAAUAUUUUGCCAAGACCUUAUCAUGUGUGCGUGGCACACGGCGGGUUAGCGAGCUGCGAGCCAUGUGUGGGGGUGGCGUGUGGCCUUCACACGCAUGGGCCGUGUAGGGAGCGGUAGAGGACUAGAUGCACCAGUGGACGUGCAAGUGGCGAGCCAUGCCGAGGGGGCGGCGCACACCCGAACAUCAGGAAGGUGGCUCAACCUUAAUUCAAUGAUCAAGGGAAGCCAGUCAACUACUGAAGUGCAGCCAUGCAUGUCACUCUGACAUCCUACAUGAAGUGGAUGACAUGACAAGGCAGAGCAACUUCAUCCUCCUCAUUCCUUGUGUAGCUUCUGGUAGUUGUUAAACAACCUAUCCUCGAGAUCACGACACACCGCCAGCCUACCCAGUCAACAUCUCCACUUCAUACGCCCGAAAUGGGAGUUCGGGGCAAGAAGCAUCAAUGAGCCCGUCGCUUGAGGCCACGGGGAUACCGACAAGGUGGCUGCACUAUCUCUUGCCCUCCUGCUCACAAGCCUCUGUCUUGCUUCAGUUGCUGAGAGAAGCAUCGCCAAUCUCCGGUCAACAUAGUUGACCCCUAGUGGGCCGCAUCCCUCCUCAAAGCCAUUAACACCUAUCAAGAAGCACUCCCUCUAGCAGACUCAGCUUCUCAGAAGUCUAAAACCUCAAAAAGUGACUCAAAGUUACGGUCAAGGAUACCUCAAAAGGGAAGAAAGCCCCUAUGUAUAGGCCCAAAGGCAAACUGUGCAACUCGUGACCCCCAAGCUGCCUAACAAGAGAAAGGAGGCCACAACUAUCAUUAGAUGCCUAGGAGUGGUUGGGAAAACCGAGAUCCUCCAAAAGACAGAGUUGGUACAGCUCGAUGAGACAGCUCAUGAACUCCCCGGACACGAUGCCCUGACACGACAGGUCUUGACAAAAUGUAUGCCUACUCAGUCAUUAAGGCAUCCCGACGAGACAGCACACAAUAGCCACCUAACACAUUGAACGCUUGAACCAACGGUGUUCUGAGCUCCAAGCUCAGGGCUAUCGCGAUCUCAGGUGCAUGCACAAAACACAUUUGAAAAUCAGCAUCGCCACGAUCACUCCAAUAUUACGAAGACGCUCGGGGCUACUAUCAGGGUCAAUAUACCAGGGUAUCUAAAAGGCACGAAUGCAAGGCCACUUGUGCAGCCCAGCUAGCCAAAGCCUAGCAACUAUGACCCAUUUAAAGCCAGGCCCCAAACCAAACACGAAGACACGUGGCCUACCGCAACCUCUUCCUUCUCCUUCCACCGCGUGCCUUGCAAUCAUGCUCGACCUCUCCUCCGUCUUGACCCUUAGGCAAAGACAAGAAGAGGUUGGGCACCAUUGAGUAUGCCUGCCCUAACAUAGACAGGUGCGCUCUGCUCGCAUGCCAGCCCUUCUAAGCUUAUGUUGCAAGAAGUAAGCAGUUUGUAGAGGCAGCUACCAAGUUGGCCUUAGAAAUGAGAUUUGUAAGGCAACUAGUAAGAACGGCCACCGGUGGGACAAACCACCUGAAGGUGCAUCAAUCUGACCCCUUCGUUCUCCAUCCAAUCCAAUCCACACUUAAGUCCUUGCUACCACCGAAAUCCUAUAUUCCUUGGACCGAGCUGCCGUGUUGCCAUACCCCCUAUAUGCGCAGCCACCGGGAACAUGGGGAUGCGAUGGCAGGGACAUAUCAGCAACUGUUUCGUAGGGAGUGGACGGAAGGGGGCCUCGAAGCAGGAGCGAGAAGCUGUCACGGAUGCAGUGUGGGGUUGUGUUCGCGGGUAGGAAGGCGGCAUGGGCAUUGGGGGCAGUAGUGCAUGGAAAUGGGGCUAGCACGUGGCAAGAUGGAUGGCGAGCCUUUGAGGCUAUCCAAGAUCGGACAAUGAACGCCAUGGGAUAACGUGCUACUAAAUUUAUAGUCAUUUACGCGAUCUCUUAGAGCUGUUUUUUCUAAUAUUAGUUACAUUUAGCUUUACAAAAUGAUUUGGCUGGCCGCUAUGGUUUUACAGCAAAAACUCUUUGCUUCCUGAGUGAUUAGAUGUUAGUUGUGAUGGUGCUGGGGAUUUGAGUAGCCUGAAUUCCAGUCCACAUGCCUCACCAGCGAUGUCAGCGUGCACGAUGAGUGAGUCGGGAAAGAGUGAGUGGGGAGAGGCAUGGGAAAGGAGAGGAAACUGAUGUAUUCCUUAAAUUAAAUUAUCCGGCAAAGAAGUCCUUUGUCGGGUGCCCGAUAAAAAGAUCCCGGCAAAGCGUUUUGCACCCGGCAAAUCGUCGGUUUCCUGUAGUGACUCUGUUACGACUCCAUAAUUAACUCUCUAAGAGUCCAACUGAACCAGGAAAUUAUCUAAAUCCGAGUUUAACAAACCGAUGCAGAGACACCCAUGAUCUCGAGCUGCAAAGACGUAUGUGUCGUUCAGCCACUCUGCUCAUGCGUUGGGUCCUCUGGUUCUGCAUGGUUUCUCCUGUUCCGCCCUGCAAACUUCUUGUCGCACCUUGACAGUAGAAGCUAUAAUCAUCUACACCGGCCAACCUGCAUAAAAAAUGAAUGGCACGAAUAACAUCAUUACAUUUCCUUCAAAAAUUCUUAUGUGUGCUUGAAGGAACUAGUAAAUGACCAGUGGAAAUAAUACAAACUAAAACAUUCCCUUCUGAAUAUCUGAAGAAAUAGCAGGUGACACUACAACACGUCUCAUUAUAGGAGGCGUUUACAAAUGCCUUCAAAAGAGGUCAAAACGCCAUCAAAGACUUUUUAAGGCAUUUUUAAAAUGCCAUCUAAAACAGGGAAGUAAAAGGUCUUUUGAGGCAUUUUUCAAAAUGCCUUUUAAUAUCAGCAUUUAAAGGCAUUUUCUGACUGCCUAAAAUACUAUUUAGAGGCGUUCUGUACAACGCCUUCAAACAUUAAUGGAGGCAUCAUUAUAAAUGCCUCCAAAAUCAAGCUAUUCAUAUGGAACUGCUAGCAAUAUAGAAUCGACACAAUCCAUUCGAGAUUGAAGUAAUAAAAGCACUAUAUACUCCAAAUAUUUUAAUCUUGCAGACAUACAUAGUUACAUUUCUAACCAGAUUGCAUUGCUCUCUUUAAGAGAGAUAAAAAGCUAGACAUGUUCACAUCACAGUUACAUACAUAUGCGAGCUCCUGUCCUCACUUGGCAAUUGUUCCCACUUGAAACCAAACAUGUCCCAAUGAGUGAAGGUUGAGUGGUGUGCUAAUGUAUUACUAUGCCUUGGAGGUCAUGGGGAUCACCACAGUGUUACGCUACAGACCCCAUCCGAGGACAAGCUGCGCAAACAUCUUGCCGUGCUUCCCAGCCAGGCUCUGCAAAUUGUAUUGCUGCCACAAUGCCAAGUUAGCUGAUCACAUUGGCACAAAAACUGAUGAUAUUGCAAAGUAUCCAAACAAAAUGUACUCCUAUUUGUUAAACAAAAUGAUGGUUGACAGUCUAGAGGGUUGUAAUGGAGAUUUGAAAUGACAACCACCUUGAUGACUAGUGCGCAGCUGUGAGUGCGUGAGAUUCCUUCAUCUAUUAGCUGCAAAGACACAUAUUUUUGUUCAUUUUUGGCAGUAGAGCCAUCCAAGGAGGUAUGCGCUGCGAGGGGUUGAUAGUAUUAUUAUUGCUGUAAAAAAGUGACUUCACCAGCAUGAAAAGUAAAUCGCCAAGCAUGGAAAAAGUUGCAGCAAGAAAAUUUUAGUGUAAGUUUAUUAUACUCCAAUUCAGGAUAUUUCGAAACUACACUACGCUUUGAGCACCUCCUAGUACAAAAGGAAAUGUUGUCAAUGCAAUGAAUAUAAUACAAAGGGAAGAUUCCCAAUACUAAAUAUUUCAAAUGUCAAACUGGUGCUAACAAAACAGAGAAAAUUGGUGGUUUGGUUUACCUGAUUCCAAUGCUGCGCACCAGUCCCAUGGAAACAAGCCAUUGCAUAACAUGUUGUUUCUAAUGAAAUAGAGGAAUCAAUGUCUACCACGCCAUGAUCACCAAUUGAGGUCAUGGCAUCUUUACCACUAAUCUGAGCAAAUUAAGUAAGGCAUCAACAGCACUAAACCCAGCAACCAUCCAUAUAUAGGAAGAUAGCUAGUACUAGUAUGUGUAUAAUAAUAUAUAUAAUACUACACUACUCCUGUAGUAAUCAAAUAAUGUAAUGAAAAUAUUGUGGAGACACUCAGCUUCAAGGACAAACAUAUAUAGUCACUCCAAUUGAGGUCACAGUCAACGAAAAUGUUGUAGAGACAAACAUCUCUGAGGUUACUGAAUUUAGGGGAGGGAUGCUGUGUAGGCAGUCAUGAGCGAGCGAGCGAGGGAGAUGAGCCCAUCACCAGGACCAGGAGAGUGUGCUGGCCUAUAACAAGCAAGUGUUUAUUUGAUUCUAAGGAUGGACUAGUGCUCGAUCAUUUUCUACUUUCAGAGUGUAGCUAUCCCCUUCCUUUCUACUGUGUUGGUUUCCUUUCAGAGUGUAGCUACUAGAUAUCUAACCAAGGACUAUUCCAUGACCGAUGGUCUAUUAGCAAAAAUCAGGCAUUGAUAGUACCAGAUAUCUACGAAAUCUAUUAGCAAACAUCAGGACACUACAACUUCGAUUCAUAUUUGGAUAUUCCAUGACUGCAAAAGAAAUUUCAAUUAUGUAGUACAUUACAGUGCACACUAUCUAAUCACUGGAGAUAUUGGAGAUAAUCUAGCGCGGCACUUUCUAUAAGCAUUUUCACAAACAGGUGGUGAGCAUGAGACAUUAGCAUUCAUAUAUUCAACAAAGUGAAACAGAUUAAGUGCAAAAACGGAACUUGAUGUAGUUCCUGACCUGCGCAUGAGCCAGGGGGAUGAGGAGCCUUAGUAGUCAUAGUAGUAAAGGCACGGUGACCUCGGCGAAGGGCGAUGGCGGCAAUUGAUAACGGAGGCGCGAUGGUGGUACACUGGUACUGAUGGGAUGGUGUAGUGGAGAACCUCGUUGUCGGCGAGCUCGCGAGAACUCGUGGCCGCCUCAGGCCGAGAUGUAGUGGAGGACGUCCUCCUUGGCGAGCUCACGAACCCAACAAUCUCGCUGCCCUGCCUCCUAGCAGCUGUGUCGUCCCUCCCCGCGCCGCCCGACGUAGCUGUGCUGCCUCCUCGUCGCAGUCGCGCCAUCCCUUCUCGCGCCGCCCGAUGCAGCCACGCCACCUCUGUGCAGCCGCGCCAUCCUCACGGCGACGCUGGACGCAGCCGCGUCGCGAAACCCUAUCUCAACAGGUGAAGGGGGAGGAUAACGGAGUGAAGCUUUUUUGCGACACAUACGGGGAGGAUACGGGUCGUCCGAGGCUCUGAGCUGGAGCUGGGCCUGGGCCGAGAGGGAUUGAUGUAGGGUCUCCAGCAUUUGUUUUCUCAAAAAUUAAAAAAAAUGAAUAUACGUGGCUGUUUGCGCACGUACAACAUUACGUAAUGGACUAGUAGGAGUUGUCAUUUUCAAACAGAGCUAUAUGCACGUACAUCAAAGGCGUUCUGUACAAAAACGCCUCAAAAGGUUGUAAGUAACUAAGGCAUUUUUUAUAAAACGCCUCAAAAGAUUGUAGUUAUUUAAGGCGUUUUUUAGUUUGCCUUUAAAAAUAUACUUUUAAGGGCCUUUUAAGAGAAAUGCCUUUAUACAACAAUAAAUUGAGGCACUUCAGAAAAAAAUGCCUUUGACCAAAUGCCUUCUAUAAUGGGACAUGUUGUAGUGUGAUAUCUAUGCUACCGGAACUUAGUUACUUAUAGUAGCAGUACUUCAUGACUAUAACUAUCCUUCUGAAAAAUGGUCCAAAAUUGUACACUAAUGAACACACCUGUACUCAGAGCUAAAGACAAGGUAGUAUCUGGUUCCAUGUCCACUGAUUCCGCAUGAUAAUGUUGUGAUGGUAUGUCAUGAUGAUUAUUGCCAUGCACUUGUCCUUGAUCACCUGAUACUGGGUCACCUACACCAACCUGCAAAAAAAUGAAUAGCAUGGCUAACGUUAUGUGCUUAAAGGAACAAGUAAAUGACCAGCGGAAAUAAUAUCAACUAAGACAUUUCCUAUUGAAUAUAUGAAGAAUUAGCUGAUGAUCGUUACUUGCAGUCACAGUAUUUUCAGCAAAAGGGUCCAAAAUUGUACACUACAUGAACUGACCUGUACUGACAAGGUAGUAUCUUGUUCCAUGUACACUGAUUGCUCAUGAUGUUGCGAUGGUAUGUGGUGAUUAUUGCCAUGCACUUGUACUCCGUGAUCACCUGAUACUGGGUCACCUACACCAGCCUGCAUAAAAAAAUGAAUGGUACGGUGCAAAUAACUUUAUACAUUUCCUUGGAAAAUUCUUAUGUGCUUAAAGGAACUAGAUAUGAUCGGCUAACUAAUUAUAUUAUUUCAAAUGGAAUAAAUGUAUCAUUGUCUGGUCAUGGCUUUUGUGAUGGGUGGAUGCAAUUUUAUCCAUAAGUUGCCUUCCUUUCAAGUAAAAUUAUAAGUAGUAGUUUGUUUCCAAUUUGAUUCAGCAUGCACGUACGCGACCUCUACAAAGUUGAAGGUUCACCAAAACUAUUGAUUGUCCUACAUGUAAUAAUAGAACUACUAAAACAUAUUGGUUUGUCAUUUUUUUAAUAAAUAAAGACAGUGAAACAGACUGGGUGGUGCGAUGAAAGGGUUAUUUUAUGACUAGUAGCUUGUUUAAAUAGUGUGCAAGUGUAUCAAAUACAAACAUAUUCAAAGCAUCGUCCCAAGCUAAUAACCAAUAUAUUGUUACUUUUGUUCAAUAUAAUGCUAGAGGCUUAAUAAAACUCCUAAUCUAGAAUGAAGGCAAAAACUAGCAAAAUUACCUCGUGAAACAUCUUUGUAGGUACAAACUUGCACUGGCUGUGACUUUGAGCAUGCCUAUGCACUUGGUGCUGCUGCAUUUGCACCAUGGUGACAGUAGUUGUAGUGACUGCUGCAGCCCAGAGACAGGGAGGAUAUUUGGUGUUGCCUCUGAGGUUACCUCUACCUUUUCAUCGUUUUGUUCUAUCAUUGUCGUAUUAGGACAACGAUAAAAGACCUUGGAUAGGACCAGCUCCCCAUCCUUCUCCUCCUCACUCAUGCCGAGGUGGUAUUGGUGCAUAACCCAGUUGGUCUUCUCUCGCUUCCCAUGAUUCACAUUGUGCAAUACCAGGAUCUUUUUGAACCCCUUCUGCCUACCGCCCACGAUCAACGGACGCGUAUUGCCGGUCCGGUGCCAACGCGCCUCCCCAACAUCUUCACUGCCGCGCUGGCUGCGCUCUGACAUGAUCUUUCUCCUCGUCCUUGUGCUAGUUGGAUAGGCUUUUGAUGUCUUGUGGAAGAAAUGCUUGCUUUGGCCGUCUCUUGUCACACCUAGAGAUGAUCAAUUAGCUAGGUAUAAGCACAAGGGUAUGAAGACAUGAUAUAGAAUAAGUCCUGAGACAUGUUUAUUAUACUGUUGUAAUGUUGCUGAUAAAGUGACAUGCUUCCAAUAUACUCAGCAUAUUUCAGACUAUACAUUAAAUAAUCCAAUUUAGAAAACAAAAAGUAUACUACUCAGAGAAAGGCCGUAGAACAAGGAUGUUUACUCGCAUAUUUCACCACUAUACAUAGCAAAUGAAAGGUAGCCUAGAACCAUAUGUAGUAUGUGUACCUCGAAACUUGAGAAGCAUCUUCCGAUAUAAUCAUGAGUGAGUGGUGGAAUAAAAGUGUGUUCAGCACAAUGUAGCAAAAACAAAUUACUAAUGCAUGUUUUUGCAAAUUGAAAUCCAAUGGAUGAUGUGUGCAGGUAGAGGAUACCAAAUCAUAUAGAAGAUGCAGAUGGGUCACAGUAGUAUGAAAUUAUGUGUAUAUAUAUGUCACAUUACAGAGAUCCAGGAUCAUAUUGAUGUCAACAAUAGUUAAACUUGAUGAGUUAUGUCGCAGAUCAUAUAUACUUGAAAACUAGUAGUUGAUACUUAAUUGUGACAGCAUAUAUAUACAUGAUGAGAUGAUGUGCGUGUAUACAUAUAUAUAGUAUAUAUAUCUCAAGAGAUAUUUUGAUCUCACCAGGGAGAUUCUCAGGAUGGGUGUAGCAAAUGCCAAUGUCUUCUUCAAUGGUUGGUAUGAAGUGAUUUAUGAGAGCGUGUGCUCUGGAGCCUCCUCCUUCUUUCGCCAACACCAUGGACUCUAGGUGUUCUAUGAGCUCCUGGUCUGACGGAUUAAACCUGAGACCCGCUGGAAAUCCGGCCAAGUUCUUGUAGCAAUUGCAUGAUUUCAAAAACACACCCAUAUGUAAGAGAAUUCAGAAGAAAGAAUCAAUUGCUGAUGCAAACCAGAAAUAAUUAUUUUAGCAUACCAGAUAAUUGCAGUUAGGGCAAGCGAGUGAAGCUCUCGCGUCAGUGCCGUUGCUGCUGAUAUUGGCGCCUGAAUCUCCCCUGAACAAGAAGGAUUGAUGAGGAGAAGAUGUAAGUAAGAAUUUACAGGUAAAAACAACAUGCUCAGAAAAGAAAAGAAAAACAUCGCAGAGCACAACAACCUAGGACUCCAGAAACCAACUACUACACGCUCACGCUCUAGGCCAGAAAAGACGUAAAUACAAUUUGCGAUCUGAUUUCUGUUUUGAAGUUCCAACACACAGAUUGUUCCAGCAUUGCAAAGGAGCCUAGAAAGGGGCGAAACUAAAGCAAGCAUUCGUACUCAUACAGUGGAGAUCGAUCGGAUAGACAAGAAGGCCAGGCAAUAAAUUGAAAACGGGCAGAUUCGACAGACUAGAUCGGUGUGGCUCUGGCUGCUACGACUCAGAGCAGAGCUGCUGCUGCAUACACAAAUCCUGGACAAGGCCGCACGGUAGGGAUCGAUCUGAAGGUCGUAGUAAGAGAAACGCACGAGAUGGAUCGAGAGAGAGAGAAAUCGGGGAACUGGAAAAGGAGGAGCUCAGCUCACAUGGCGUCGGCGGUGCUCCUCGCGUCGCGAUGCAGCAGCUCCGAUCGGUGCGGUGGACGAAGGCCGGAGGGAGGGGAUCCAGCGAGCGAGGAGUGUGGUCGGAGAACACCACCCAAGCAAAGCAAAGCAAAGCAGCUGUUUCUCCGGUUCGUCACGGUGAAGCGCAGUGAAGGGCUGAAGGCCAAGAGCGCAGAGAGACAAAUAUCGAGGGCGUGGCGUGUGGGGUACUGUGUGUGAAAGAAAGGAUCUCUCGUGCGGCCGCUUUUCUGCUGGCAAGGGACAGCUGUCGCGAACGCCCCAACUGGAACUACUGUACUACAUUCAACCCAGGUGGUCAAAAAAGCUGAGCCCGGUCAGACCCACCGCAGAGCCCAAUCAAGCCCGCCAGGAGGGAAGGGGCUGGGAGAGGGGCGCGGCUAGAGUUAGAAUAGGGAGGGGAGGUGCUAGGAGAAUGAGCUAGGGUUUCCCUCACUAUAAUAAAUAUAUUAGUAGUUAGUACCAAGCCCAUAUGGGAUACGGGGCUCAACCACAUUAACACAGGCCUCCAUGUCCAGAGGCGGAUCUCUUAAAAGGUCUAUCUUUAAAAAUUAAUUCUAUAAUAUAAACAAUCUGACCACCUUCGUAUAUAAAAUAUCCGCCUCCGUAAAUACAUUUUAUGGUCAAUGCUGACUGCUCCAAAAAAACCUUAAGCUUAGGUUUUAUAUGAGACAAUUGGAUUUUAUGACCGUCUACGUUAAUAUUUGGGCAGUGUCUCGUGAAAUCAUUUUUUAGCAGUGUGGCAGGCUCGAGGAGUAGUGGCAUAAGCAUAAGCGCGGGCCCAACUGCUGCAUACCUAUGUUUUGAACAAAACACUUAGUAUAUGAUGUAUAUAUUGGAUGGCUACAAUUGAAUGCGAUCCUAAUACACUAUCGGAGAGCCGGCUUUUGCCGUGUGCCCGUUUGUUUGCUGUGAGCAACACACGGCAAACGCCAAACACACGGUAUACCUGGCCUUUGUCGUGUGUUACACACGAUGAACUCAAACCUUUACGGUAAGCAACACACGGCAAAAACAAGGCACACGGCAAAAGCUAACCCUACGCUAACGUCAACGUUUGUCGUGUGCGGCCGUUAGGCACACGGCAAAGCUUGGGUUUACCGUGUGCUUAAGGCUGGCACACGGCAAACACAAACUUAGUCGUGUGCCAGGGCAGCACACGGCAAACAAUUUGUCUUUUUUCCAUAUUUUGCCCUCUAAUUUUUUUUCUCUACACACUCACCAUUUAUAACUCCAUACUCAAAUUUCAUAAAAUUUGAAACAUGUUUGUACAUUUUUGCAAUUAACAACAUUCGUUUUUAUUUUUCCAGAUGCGGUCAAAUUUGAACUACGAGUCAGUGAAAUAGUUGAAAAAAUAUCAGAAAAAUGAUAUUCAUGUUACCCAACCCUGUCUGAGAACACAUAUUUAAAACGGAAAUGACUUUUAAAUGUUGUGGUUAGGAGACACGACGUCGAACGUGCGUCGGUACUUUUAAAAAAUUCUAAUAAAUGCUAUUUUAUUCCGUAAAUCAUGAAACUUGUACAUAUGUCAUGUUAUCAUACAUAGAGGCCAUAGAAAAAGUUUGGGAAAAAUUCGAACAAGUUGUCACGUAUGAUGUGUAGAAAUUGGACAUCUCCGGAGAAGUUUAAGAGAGUUAUGAGUGAAGGAGCAUGAGUUGGAGUAGAUUUGACUUUCAUAUUUGAGUUUGAUUUCGAAACUUUUUCUAUAGGCACUACACCACAUAGGUUGUGUGGUGUCCAAAUUUGGGAAUUUUUCGGAAACAUUUACUAUUUCUUAAUUAUUUUCAGCAUUUUAAUUGAAAAUUUUAAAAUUUGAAUUUUUUAAAUAACCUCGGAUGAAAAAACUCUCUAAAUAAACUUUGUAGAUCUCCAAAAGUUAUGAAACUUCAUAGUUGACAACUUUUUGUUUUGGAAUCAUCUUGUCAUGCAAAAACUACAUUUGAAUUUCUCAAAUUUGAAAGUCAAAUUUUGUAAACGACCUCAGAUGGAAAAACUCCCUAAAUGAAAAUUGUAGAUUCCAAAAAGUUAUGAAACUUUGUAGUUGACAACUUUUUAUUUUGAAAUCAUUUAUGACCUCAAAUAAUCAAUUUAAACAUAAUUUGGUAUAAUAUUUGAGGAACUGAAAUGUAAUAUAAUCACAAGUCAUAGUGUGGUGCAGUGGUUAAGAGUGGAUACAUGCAAGAGAGAGGUUAUAGGUUCAAAUCCCAUGGGUCGCAAAGAUGCAAAAAAUUUAGAACUUCGGAUUUUUUUUGUUUUUAUCAGUGUCAAACCUAGGAAGGGGAUUUGUCGUGUGCCCAACCCUGACACACGGCAGACAUUGAGACUUUAGCGUGGGCCUGCAUGGUGACACACGGCAAACCCUGCCGUUUUCCGCCGUCCGUCACCUUUUUUUGCCGUGUGCUUAUAAUUUGGCCGUGAGUAAAGGUAAUAUUCACCAUGGGAGGGUUUCUCGUGUGUUCUUCGCCGUGAGCAACACAAGGCAAAGCCUUCGCCGUGUUUGGGCUUUGCUGUGCACCAGGCACACGGCGAACCCCCCCCCCCCUCCGGUAGUGAAACCAAAUCAGACUGCCAAAUCAGACUGGUUUUGGAAAUAGGCUAAAUACCAAAACACAUGUUUGGAUGCAGAUGAAAUUGCUAUUUUGAAUCCUAUCACAUGACAGGUUUUUUUUCAAAUUUUAUCCUUUGAAACUAUUUUAGUAAUAAUCGCAAAAUAAAAUUAAAUGCAUCCCAUGCCCCUUUUGGUCACACCAAAGGACGUGGCGUGACUAUUCCACAUAGUCACGCCAGGUGUGUUGGCGCGUCAAUCCAGCCACCGUGGCAGCGAUGGUUGACCAGGGCCGGCAUGACCGCCACUAGGCCCCACCCUAUCGCGUCGUAUGCAUUGGCGCGACGGGUCGGGUCAUGCGAAAUUAGGGUUUAGCCAAUAUAGAUGGCCAUCGGGCCGUGCCGGCCCGGCCCAGUGGCCUGGCGUGCCGUGACUGCCCCGGGCCACGUCGUGCCAUCGUGGGUCGUGCCAUCGCCGUGCCUCGUGCCGGAGGUACGGCCCAAGGAACGGCCCGUGGGACGUCGGGCCACCAAGACAAAGUCGUGCCAGGCCCGCAGGAUGGGCCAGUAGCAGGUCUAUAUUUUUUUUUAAUUAGCAUGCUAUAUUUCUUACCAGGCCACUUAGAAUGGAUGGAUGGGCCAACAGGCCUACAUUUUCUUUUUUUAGAAUUAAUAGGCUAUAUUUUUUACUGGGCCAUUAAGCACCGGGCCAUCGGGCCAUGCCUGAGCCGUGCCACAGGCCACGGUGGCAGCGCAGGCACGGCCCAGGCCGUGUCGGACCGGGCCCUGUAGCCGUCGGGCCGAGCCGUGCUCGGGCCGGGCCAACGGGCCACGGACUGCAUGGCCAACUAUAUUAGCCAAGGAGCCCACCGAGGAGCCACGACCACCUCUCCUGCUCCCUUCCGUGACCUCACCGGCCCCACACGAGGUGGUGGGCGUGGCUCCACCCCAGCCUAGAGGCGCCUAGGCAUGGGGUGCCUCCCUACUCGAGAGACGCCGAUGAGUGGCGGUACCGCCGCAGGCGGCCUCCUCCCCUACCUCCUUCGUGGACCUCCAGAGUAGGCCCAAGGUGUUCUUCCUUCUUCUUCUCCUCCCUUGUUUUGCUUCAUUUUGCCCAUUGUUGGUAUGUUUAGGGCUAGGGAAAAAUAGGUAGAAUGUGAUUGUUUGAAUCAUUUGUUGAUACGAUUUAAUGCAUAGAGUAGUUAGAGGAUGUAGCGUGCUCGUGGAUUUGGAAUGAACUAUGUGUUGCAUGUACAUAACUAGUUGUUGCAUGAAGGAUUUAGAGUGGUAUGUUAAUAUCGUAGUAGUGAUAGAUAUGAAUUGGAUUCAAAGAUGAGUAGUUGCUAAAUUGUUGUGUUGGUUGGCAUUUUGUAGAUGGACCGGUUAGUGCGAUUGUUUCAUGGUGGCAUAGUAAAAGCAAAUGGAGAGUUUGAAAGCAUGCAUUUGGAACCUUAGUUUUUUAGUAGUGCUCCUAGCUUCCAUGAUUUGGUUAGCUAUUGUUGGGAUAAGUUUGGUUAGCCAUUAAGAUUGGAUGGAAGAUUUGAUUAUCGAAAGGAAUGAGCACAUUAUGUGUUGAUGCCUUUGUCAUGUGAGGAUGAUUGGAAGGACUAUGUAGAUGUUGUCAAGAGUAGCAGCGUGGAGUGCUUGGAAGUUGUGGUGCACAUGGGUCAUGGCCUCUAGUGGUGCCUAAGGAUAGUAGAGUCGAUGAUGAGCCCAUUAAGAAGCUUACCCAAGAAGAAGAGUUGCUGGUGGUUCCUGUUAGAGAAGUUGAUAUGUCAUGUGAGGUUGGCGCCCUAGGUAAUGAUUUUGAUUAAGAAGUUUUUGAUGAUGAAGAUGGUAUGUAUGACAGUAUAGGAUCAUAGGAUGAUGAAGCUCAUGUUGUCUAUGAGGUGGACAAUGACAUGACUUCUAGAGAACGCACUUUGAAUGAUGUGUUGGAGGAUGAGUAUAGGUCCAAGCCUAGUAGUGAGGACAAAGAAAGCGAAUGUAUUGAUGUAGGGAGGGAGGAGUCCUUACAAGUUCUAGUGGACAGGAUCAUUGAGAAUGGAGUGCAAUGAGGCCGAAAUAAGGCAAUUGAGGGUAGUCCAUGUUGCGGUACCAUGAUUCCAAACUUCAUGCACAUUAGUAUGGUGGAUGAGGUAGUUUGUGACACUAGUUUGGCGAUCUUGGAUGAUGAGGUGGCAGAGAGUGAGGAGGUGGAGAUUAAGAAGGGAAUGGUGUUUGAAACAUUAGAGCAGCAGAAGUAUUUUCUCAUGGAUUAUGCCAUUAGGUUUCAUAGGCCUUAUAGUGUCACUCAUUGCGAUAAGGAGAAGACGUACACAGUCCUUUGUAAGGUUUGAUGUGGCUGGGGAAUCUGGGCUAGAGAGUAGAAAAACAAGAAAUGGAAGAUUCAAAAUGUUAUGCAAUCUCAUAAGUGUCGAUCUGCCAAGGCAAAGGGUAUGCAUCCCUAGAACACUGCCCACUACCUUCGUCGUCGUGUGGUUGCUAUUGUUAGGGCCGAUAGUGACAUGUAUGUUUCGUCCCUAAUCGAGACCCUACGAGGCUUCACUAGCUAUAGAGUGAAGUACUCGAAGGCAUGGCGGGAAGAGCAGCACACUACGGAGUUGUGUGGGGUGAUUGGAAGGAGGUGCAAGGAUGACCUAGAGCAAGAUAGGAGCUGGCGUAGCUACAAUUGCUAGGCUGCUAGGUGGUAGGCCAGUGCAAAAAGCAGUUUGGGCUUUUCCUGGGAUGAGAGGAAGGAUAGUCAUCAAUACAGAUUAUAUUUUGAACGUGUUGCUAAUUUCUAGCUUAACGGUAUCGUACGACAUUAUGUUAAGAUUAUAUAAUACUACCAAAUAUACACGUACGACAGGUAUAUGUUUCUACAAACUAUUUCAAAUGGAAUGGAAAUGUUAAUUGAAUUCUCGAUAUACAAUAAAGGUAGAUGACAACUGCUCGACCGAUUUGAUCGAUGUUGACGGUCCUUAAUGCCUAUUUUAUACCAUCAACUAUUGCUCAAUAUAACAUGAUAUCAACCAUAAAGCAUAGUUGUAGGGUUUGAUUCUAACAAGUUCCAUGAGUUUUGGUGUUCUCACUUGCUUUGUAGGAAUAUGGAAUUUUCCAUCAAAUAAAAGUAUGUCAAAUGAUGAUUUGGACUACACCAUUGCGACGGGCUCGUUGAGAUGAUCGAAACGGACAUAUCAUUUGCUAUAUUUGGAGUCCGGAGUGAAAAGAUAUUAAUUUUAUAAAUAAAGGAGAAUUACCACUAAGGGGCCCCACGCCCAAGCAAGGCCCAUGACGUGAGAAGAGGCUCAUAUGGCAUGAUAGAGGCCCAAGAGAGAUGCCCCAAGCUGCUCCCUUGAGUGGGCUCACACGAGGGAUGAUUGGAAGGCCCAAGUUGAUGUAUAAUAGCCCAACAGAGCAAACGGUGGAAGAAUUAGUCCCACAUCGCCUGUCUAGAAGAGGUGGGAGGCUUUUCUAGGCUAUAAAUAAAGAGGCAGACCCCCCCCUCUCUGAGGGCACCACAUUAUUACGGAGAUGUAGAGGCGUCCCUCGAAUGGAUGGCCUCUCACCUCUAUAGAAUUAGGGCUCGACAUUCCAAUGUAGUAGAUUAGCUCUAGUUGAGAGUUAGGGAGAGUGGCGCUAUACGCCCGGGUUCUGGAGGAGUCUUCGGAGGAGUUGUUAGAGUUCUGGUAUAUCUUUGUAUCUUUUCUUGUAAGACUUAUGCUUUAAUAUAUUUCAACUUCUCUAUUUACUUUUAUGCAUUACAUUUGAUUGGUUAGUAUAGUUGUUAUACUUUAGCAUAGGAUCUCCGCCCGCAUCGGGUGCUCUAGUAUUAAUUGUGACUAGAGUAGUAAUUUGUAGUAGAGACAUGGUGUCUAGACUAUAGGUUACCUGAGAUUGCACCCAAUUCAACAUAUAGUUGUGGUAGCCCUAGGUGGUGACAGCUCUGACGGCCGACAUAUUCCACCAUGUUAGGGUUGGUGUUUGUAGGACCGUAGUUGGACCUUUCUAGUCCCCUUCUCAUCUUUUCAUGACUAGUGUUCCAAUGUCCCGAAAUGUUAUUGUGUGAUUGCUUUACCUACCAUGAAUUAGUUAUUAUAGAACCCUAGUAAUAGAGAAGUAUUUAGGAACCUUAAACUCUCCCGUUGUCCUCUCACUUUAGCUAUCUACACUUUCAUCAUAGAAUUCUCCGGUGUGUGUCAUAUAUGCAUAAUUUCUAUCAUCUAUUAUUUAUCCCUACUUUAGUCUAGUUGGUGUAUUAGUUAGUAGAUACAUGAUGGUGAACUAUCAAUGUCUUUAUCCAUUGUUUCCCGGUGGUAAAAUAUAAAUAACCAUACAUGGAAUACUCCCGGUAAAAUGCUACAAUGGUUUUCUUGUGCGCUUGCAUAAUCCUUCAUAUUUUAACUGUGUGAAAUACCAACAAUCGGAUCAUAUAGAAUAAGGUUCAAAUUGUUUGUUAUGCCUUAGCUUCAUAUAGCGCUACACUUUCACUUGACACCCUUUUUAAAUGGCUCUUGUUGUCGCUAUCUUAUUCUAUUUCUAUACCUUUGUUGAUCCAUCCUCAUAUGGUUGGAAAACCCCACACGGAGAAGAGAGCACUCAUCUUGGAGUGAACUUGCUACUUAUAAGUUUUUAGCCAUUAUCUUUUCUAUACUUUGCUACCCAACGUUUUCUUUAGACACGUACAAACAAUGUGAGAAAUUAUGACUUUAAUGAUGCGAUAAGAUUUUGCCUAAUAAAUGAACAAAUAUAAAAUAACAUGAUAUAAAUAAAGAAGCAUUUGUAAAUUCAAAAUAAUUGUUACUUAAAUAAUGUAGUAUUAACUUAUUUAGCAGGCUUUUUGGCCCAUAAACAACGUAACAUUAUGUUUUUCCUUUUUGUUCAUAUAAACAAAGGAGAGCAUAAAGAACAUGUAUAUGAUAGUUUUUUUCCAUCAUUUCUUACAAACAUCUUUAGAAUUUUAUUUUUCAACUUUUUUGUCAUACAUUAUGUGGAUUUAGACUCUUGGAAUGUUGGAUUAUAGUCUUUAAUUUGGACACUUUCACUUCUUCUUGUUCGGUGGGUCUUUGAUGAAUUAACGGACUACUAUCUUCAAAUGAGAGGUACCAUCAUCAAUUCAUGUUUACAUUUGCUAUAGAUUUGCUAUUGAUGUGUUGAUGUGUCCUUAUGAUGUCAUUAAAAAGUUGUCUUUGCAAUCCACCCACCCAAAUUUUUGUUUGAGCUCCACCACUGAUUUAUAGGAUUGUCUGUUCCUCACAUGCGAAUUGUAUUGUUGGGGUUCUUUGGUUUUAUUUCCACCUUUCCUUACAGCUGUUGUUCAUUCAUAGGGGGUGUUUGGGACUGCUCCACAAACUCUGCCUCCAUAAACUCCACCGUGGAGCAGCUCCACAAAAAACUGGAGUUUGUGGAGUACCUCUUUAGGUGCUCUCACAACUCCACUUUUUUUUCUCGAACUGAGUGCGUGGAGCUGAAACCGUUUGGCUAAAAAAUAUGGAGCGAAGCUGAAAAACGUGGAGUAGAGCAGUCCCAAACACCCCCAUAAUAUGAUAUUAUGAGUAAUACAAGACGUUUGAAAUUCUAAUCUAGGAUACAUAGAAGGACCAUUGCUCUAUUGGACCAUCUAAUGUGAUCGACCCAUUAACCGAGGAAUUUAAUUUCUAAUUUUAAAUUAGUUGAAAACCCCAAUCUAGGGAAGGUAAAUCCAUUAUUUUCGGAUCUAGAACAAAAGAAGCUCGGUAGUUGCCAUCUUCCUCGUGUGUUAGUAUUUUCUUCCUUUUAACAACAAACGAAAGCAUGUGUGCUCAGAUUUUUAUUAUUUUUCUUUUAGUUGCUAAGACAUACAUGCAUUUAUAUUGACGUGCCUUUGUAUCAUUUUCCUUUUCCAAUUAUAUUUUUAUUAGUUGUAUGCAUCCGUAUUGACACGGGCCUUGUUUAGUUUCCUAAAAAUUUUGCAAAAUUUUUCAGAUUCCCCAUCACAUUGAAUCUUUAGACGUAUGCAUGGAGUAUUAAAUAUAGAUAAAAAUAAAAACUAAUUGCACAGUUUAGUCAGAACAAUACAAACGAAUCUUUUGAGCCUAGUUAGUCCAUGAUUGAACAAUAUUUGUCAAAUACAAACGAAAUUGCUACAGUGCUCAUUUUGCCAAAAAUUUUGGAACUAAACAAGGCCACGCCUUGAGGACUCUGGAGUCAAGAAAAAUAAUGGUGCAAGUCAAUAUAAAAGACGUACAAAACUCAUGUUUUUAAAAUAAAAGUGACUUGUGGCGGGUUGGAUUAUAGACGUACCGUGAUACGUAUUUGAGAUUGAGUCUUGUUUAGAAGAAGUAAAUGUACGGAUGACAUAACGUGAUGAUGAUGAUGAUUACCUUCAAAUAUACGCUCGUGCAGUUAAUCAAUCAAUCAAUUCACCUAAUAAAAGAGAUGCAAACUGUAGAUCACGUCACUACAACUGUGAGCUGCUCCUCUAUCCUCUCUCUCCCCCUUCUCUGUCUGUUUGGCUUUACUCCUUUCAAUAAAUUUCAGGGCUUGCCCUCUCUUGUUUUCUUAAAAAAAAACUACUACCUCGAGCGCAAGUGAUCAAAAUUAAAUUAGAUUUGAAAAAGAAGAAGUAACGAUGAAAACAAGUUUUUAGGAGCAUUUUCGCUAAGAAGAAUAAAAUUUUAUGGUUUUUUUUUUUCUGAAAAGCUGCAGAGAGCCAGGUAUUUUCUUAGUUAGGCCUUGUUUAGUUUACUCCAAAACUCCAAAAAAAAUUUAAGAUUUUUCGUCACAUCGAAUUUUACGGCACAUGCAUAGAGCAUUAAAUAUAGAUAAAAACAAAAACUACUUGCACAGUUUGACUGUAAAUCGCGGCAUGAAUCUUUUGAGCCUAAUUACAUUGGGGCCUUAGAUAAAAACAAGCAAGUUGAAGGUCUUCUCUUGUAAAAAACGCUAGCUGACCAGCAUGUGUUUUGUUGACAACAGAGUUGACCAUGGUCAAGGUCAACAACCACUCUGGUUCAUCCUUUCUCUUCCUCUCUGUUUUCCCCAAUAUACAGGCCAUCUGGCCAUGGAUGCGCAUGGCGCAGCUCCCGGUGUCAAGUUACAGACCAAGAAACGGCUAAGCGACACGACGGCGUGAUGACGUACCCGCCGAACCUGUUCUCAACGGUGGGCAGGGAACAGCGGCGGCCGGCCGUGGAGCUAAGGAAGAGAUUGACGCUCAUGAGGUCUUGCCAUUGCCAAUGAAGAAGCCGCGGACGGCGAGGACGAAGCUGGCGGCCUCUGGUGGAGCUUAGGGGCGGUGUUGGUACGCUGCAGCCUCCAUGCCCCUACUCCCAUGUGCUCGACGACGACAUGAGCUCACUGCGGUGUCGAUGCUUUCAUGGACGAUGCAGCUAAGUUGUUCGAUGAAAUGGACACAAGUUUUUUUUCCUUGGAAUUUGACGUACUGUUAUCUCCGCUCUUAAUAAUAUUUUACCCAUUAUCUGCUUCAGGCUUUCUUAUGAAGACAUUAUAAAUUCAAGAAGGCCGUUAUAAUAAUAUAACCCCUAUUCCCUGUGAAGUGCUAACUGGCAAUUGAACUUCUUUGGUGUGCCUAGCAGUCGGGACAUGUAUCUAGUCUCAACAGUUCACAUCAUGAUAAUUGUCCCUCUGAUUAAACCUGAUGACUACUCCAUUGCCUGCCGGUUGUUUUUCUUAGAUAAGAUGCUAAAACACUAGAUAAGAUGCCAUGACAUAGGCACUAACUACUCCUACUUAUCCUAGAGAUGGAGCUCCAAAAUAUCAAAGACACAAGACUUAUUCCUUCAAAUAGUGCCUCUGAUUAAACCUGAUGACUACUACACUACCUGCAAAUGCAAGUUGUUUUUCUUAGAUAAUGGAUAUAAGUUCUGGCUUUAGUCUUUCGUCAUGGAACAGGCUACAAAUACACCCAAAAAUUACUCUGCAAUUUGUAGUGAUUGUAACUGAAAGCAAUGGAAGUUCCGUUCAGUUCUCUUCUUUUCAACAUGAGUGUCUUGCUUGUGCAUAGUACCAUAGACCAACUAGUUGAUUGGUCAGUUUUCAGUAUAUCCGCAUCCAAGUUAAAUAUUGGAGACAAUUCAAUGCAACUUGGAUGUUUCCACAUUGUAGUUGACUGGAAUAAAUAACUUCUGAUAAUAUCCAAGUAUAUACAGAAAUUUCAGUAGCCCAUGUUACUUCUAUGACUUAGUCUAGUUAUAUAUUAGUCAUUUCCCUUGUCUAUCUAUGACUUAGUCUACUUAUAUAUUAGACUUGGUCACAUGUUACUUCCUCUAUAUUUAGGCCAACCCUCCCCCCUCUAUAUCUGAAUCUGUAUAACACAUAUUAGUUCAAAUCAGUUGCAUGCAUACAGGAGCCCCAAGAUCAGGUUAAUCAUCCACAGAUGCAACAAUAAUGCACAUGUAGUUUCCUCUUGUAUUCACAAGCUUAUACUGCUACGCUUUUUCUUGUGCAGGAGCAGGACACAUUUUUGCAGAGCUGGUAAUGAUGUCAGAAGCGUUCAGUUCUGCUGUCGUUGGGGAAGCAGUUAGCAGGAUAUUCUCUGCUAUCAUCAGCAAACACGAGGAUGGCUCAGGUGAAGAGAGUGAGUUAGAGAGGUUGGAGAUGGCGCACAUCAAAAUGGAGGCAGCAAUUGACACAUCCAACAAGUGGCAGAUCACCGAUAUGCCGCUGUUGCGUUGGAGAAAGAAGCUGAAGCGUGCUGCUCAAGAGUGCGAAGACAUGCUGCGUGAAUGCAAGCAGAGUACUCUGGGAAGAUGAAGAGACCAAAAAGCAGGUCAGGGAAUACUCUUUUCCUAGACGUGUUGCUUACCACCAAAUGACUGGUCUCCUCUUUCAUCAAUCACACUAGUGAUGAAUGCUCAAGCAAGGCCAUGGUGCAAAGAUUCGAGAGGCUUGCAGAGGGUGCUGAUGAUUUCUUGAGAUAUGUGCAGCUUGGCGGAACACCAAAGCAAUAUUUGUUCUUCGAUCCUCUCAUUAGCAACCUUUUUGCUGGAAAACUUGUAGAGCACAAAACGAUGCACCAUGGAAGCCAAUACCGUUACUUCGCCAUACGGCCCAUGAGCUUCGAGGAGCGUGGACUAGAGGCCAUGCUAUCAUUCAUCUAUGAAGAUAGCAAGGCACCUCACAACAGCUUUCGCUUAGGGUUUAUGCUGCGUCUUUCUGAGAGUACCGACAUCAUUGAGAUUGCAAUCAAGUGUCUGCAUCUGGUGACGCCUCACUUCAAAUCUACUGCUGAGAUUGUUAUGAAGCAGCUCACUCAGCUUCCAACGCAGGAUUUCUCUUCGUCAUCUCAAUGCAAUACAACAUAUAGCAGCAAUGCUCACUGGAAUAACGUUCACGACACUUUGACCCAAUGGUUCCGCCCAGAUCCUUUAUGCUGCAAAGGAUAUGAUUAUGAACACAAGUUGCCUGCUUGUAGCACUACUGCAGAUGCAUCAUCGACGCUAUCCAACAUAUUUCCUGAACCUGUCUGUGAAGUGUUUUUGCAGCGUCACAUCUCGGUAUCCGAGUACAACAACCUGCAGGGAUCAAGUUGCAGUAGUUCAUCUUCUCAAGAGGAUGCACAAGCACAGGCACCUCUGAAGCUGGGAGUUCUCUUCAACCCACAUGAUGGCAUCGUCAAUGAACUUAACAGUACUACCGGAGUUCAGAUUCAGAGCUCUGCAACAGAAGCAAUUGAUGGGGAGAAGCAGCCUCGCACACAUGUCAAUGUCCAUCCACACCAACUUGAUGAGAUGCUGAUACCAAAGGCAAUAGACUAUCUGUACAAUAAUUCUGGGGCGACCAUAUGCCAGAUAUCUUGGAGGUCCAGACACGGCAGUGCACACCUUUGUGUAGAGAAAACAACAAAGCAGAUGACAAGGACUCGCAGGGUCACGCGAACAGCAGGUAGAAACAAGAGCAGCAAGGGGCUUCAACUGGAGGACCAGAUAAAGAAAGUGCAGUGGAAGCAGGUCACAGAAGAUUUUUUGAAACUUAUGGCUGUGCGUAAGUCGGACAGAUUGCAGGGCUCUAUUACCAUAUGGCUCGACAGGUACUAGUGUGUUCUAGAUAUUGCUCAAGGCCGUAUUUAGUUCCUUAUGGAAAAAAUUUCACGAUACUGUAGCAUUUUUGUUUGUUUGUGUUAACUAUUGUCCAACCAUAGACUAACUAGGCUUAAAAGAUUCGUCUCGUAAAUUCCGACCAAACUGUGCAAUUAGUUUUUAUUUUCGUCUAUAUUUAAUAUUACAUACAUGCGUCUAAAGAUUCGAUGUGACGAGGGAUCUUGAAAAAUUUUGGGUUUUUUAGUGGAAGUAAACAAGGCCCAAAUACUUCAGGCGGUCUCUCCCUGGAUUUUCUAUACCUGUCCACUGUAUCCUGUAAAAUUUCUGUGUUACAGAAACCUUAUGGGAUUGUAUCUGGUAUAUAUCUGAUUCUACUUGCUGUAUUAUGGUUAUGUUGUACUAUUGUAGUUUUUCCAUAUUGUACCUGAUAUACUGUAAUAACUACUACUAAUAGAUUAUAGAUAGUGCAACAGUUUGCUCAUUUAGAGAGGACGGAGAGAGUUGACUAAUUCGCAUUCUUGGAAAAUUCUGGUUUCAAAGGUGAUGUGUAUUUUCUGUCAGGCCUCAUGAUAAAUCUGCUUAUCAAUUCAGCUGUGUGGUUUUCAUGCAAAAGCAGGGUGGGCUGCAGAACUAUAUACCCGUUGGCUGAUAUCAGAUUCGCUGUACGAAUGUGAUUUGUUUGGUUUAGUUCAUUAUAUGUAUGCAGCACUGCCUGUUUCAUUCAGAAAUUUCUACUUUUAAAAAGGUUAGGUAUUUUUAAAAUUAAAAUUGAAAAUGGGGAAAAUUAUAUUACACACACUGCCAGAGUUUGACUAUUUCCAAGAGUUUAAUACCAAAGACAUACAAAGAAAAAAGGUAAUCCAUAGGACGCAACAAACUGCAUGGCUUUUGGCUCUAGAAGUUGGCAUGCCUUAAUAAUCUUUUCCUUAUUUUCAUCCGUGAGCUGUAAUAGAGUCUAGAACCAGAGCUAAUGUGCUGACUUAAAUAGAACAACCAGAAAGGUUAGUGGCUUGUGUUUAUCAAAGAUUAUAUUGUAUCAUUCUGUGUAAUUCAAUGCCCAAUAUAACUCUGCAGCACCUAUCAAAAGUUGCAAAUGAGGUGUGAGGUACCAUUUUUUUUUACUAAUUGACCCAAGGUUUUGUUUCCUUUUUAAGUCAGUCCUGCCAAACUCUCUGCUCACAGCCCAGAACAUACUUCAUGUAUUUUUUUUAUUAAUAAGAAACGGAGCAAUGUUUAUGGGUAAAUAUUGCUUGGGUAUGCCAAUUUUUUUUUUUUUGACAAGGUGCGUAUUUUAUAUUUAAUAUAAUAGUAAGAGAAGGGGAAGCGCAGAAGCCUUCCAAACAUACUACAAAGCAGCCGCAAAGUUACAGGAAAAACGGAACAACAUAUAAAUAAACCUAAGUGAUGAGGAGCAAGGGUGACGGUAUGCAAACUUGGUUUCAGAUGACUGGACCUGAAGCCGAUCAAGCACAUGCACAUAUCGCUCAGUCCAGGAUGUUGGCAAAAGCAGAGUACUACUCUGAAUUCAUCUUUUGCUGGAGCAAAUUCCGCAUCCGCUUGUAUACAACUCUGUUUUUUUUUAAAUUAUCUUUUUAAUCAUAAUAAAUCACACAUAUCGAUAGAUAUAUGGAAUUUAUCAUUUAGUAGCUGAUGAUGUUUCCAAGCAGCUGAUGAUCGGAGGUUGAAGGGGGCAGGGCAGAAAGGACGUACUGUACUGGGCUCUCCCAUGCGUGUGUGUUGGAUCCGAAUCAGAUCCAUUUCCAUUGACCGGCUGGCUAUAUAAAGUGGCAUGCAUGAAACUGCAUGGUCCUCCUCUUCCUCCCACAAGCAAGGUCCUACUACUAUUUAUCAAAAAAAAAAAGCUAGGAAAUACUGAAUAGCUGACAAGUUCAGGCCUUGUUUAGUUCACACCAAAUUCAAAAUUCCCCGUUACAUCGAAUUUUGCGGCAAAGUUACGAAGCACUAAAUAUAGACGAAAAUAAAAACUGAUUGCAUCUGUAAAUCGCGAGAUAAAUUUUUUAAGUCUAUUUAGUCCAUAAUUAAAUAAUAAUUGAAAAAUAAAAACGAAAAUGUUAUAAUACUGAAAACCAAAAAAAAUUCAGAACUAAACAAGACCUCACUAGACAAACGAACAGACCAUCUCCCGGUCCCGGCAGCGAAGAAGAGACAAUUAAAUCGAUCAUGUGUACACACUGACGACGCCAGUGCAGUUGCCAGUACUGCUACAAUUUGCUAGUAGUAUGCGAAUUCAUUAAUUGGUAAUGAAUCGAGGAAAGGGACAUGUAACAGAAGAGAUGGCGACGGGGGCUUAACAAAAAACUUAGGCAACGUGACGUCGUCCACGACGGGGCGAUGGAAGACGCUUACUUUACACAGGCAAACCACCAUGCGUGCAUGAAAAUGCCUCUGCCUACCUUUAUUAUGUUUUCAUUCAGGUAAAGAAAGCCGUGUUGAAUUGUUUCAUUUGCACAAGUGAAGUGGUGGACGAGAUAAACGACCAUAUCAUCGUGGAUUCAUCAUUCAUCCCACGUGUAGUGUACACUGUAGUGUAGUUUUGCCUACCCGCCCCGUGUGGGUUACGUUACAAUAAUUCGAUUGAUUACUACUUUUAUCUUAAUAAAACAAAGAUUAUAUACUAGUAUAGUCCUAUAUAUAUAGAAAACGACACUGCUAGCGCCCGAACAUCUAGCGCCAGCAGCACGUCUAGACACAGAGCCUCCCACCCACGCCACACGGAGAAAAAAAAGAAAAAGGCACCAACAGCGCGUUUGCACGCCGAGCCCUCCACCCACGCCACAUGGAGAAAAGACAAAAAAAAAGAAAAGGAAACACAUCCGUCUCCAACUAACUCGCCCCUGCCCUAUUCGCCUCGUACGGAGGACUGUUCUUCGUCCGCUCUCCAUGCAAGGAGCCCGUCUCCACUCCCACGAGCACGAGAUCCACCCCGCCUCUCGCCUUGCCGGCCCCUAGCACAUUCGCCCGCUGCCAACUCGUCCCCACACCCUUACCCCCAUAUGCUUAACGUUGCAACACAAUACGCAUAAUAGUGUAGCAACACCGGACAUACUGCUACAACAAUAGGUUGAAGUAGUUGAAACACCAUAAAACAUAGUAUUACAACAAAAACCAAACAACUGCUACAAUAACAUGCAAACAACUACUACAACAUACAGAUUGAAGCAUUGGAUGGAGUAGCUGAAACACCAUGAACAUGAACCUAGUAUUACAACGACAACGAAUGGUUAUUGCAAUAACAUAUAACAACUAAAUACAAACAGCAUAGAUUGAAGCAUUAGAUGAAGCAGCCGAAACACCAUGGAUAUAGUACUACAACAACACGAAAUAGUUGUUGCAAUAACAUGCAACAACUAAUACAACAGUGCAGAUUGAAGCAUUGGAUGGAGGAACUGAAAUACCAUGGACUACAACAACACCGAACAACUGCUGCAAUAACAUGAAACAAACUACUACAACAUGAAGAUUGAAGUAACUAAAAUAAUAUCUCAGAACACAGUACUGCAAUAAACAACUAAAACCUACUGCAACGUCUAGAGAAAACCAUUGCAAUAAUGAUGAGACCUGAACCUGAGAGCUCACCGGAACCCUACCCAACUGCAACAUCACUUGAAAACGUACUGCAACAACCAGAGGAUGUCACUAUAACACGCUCGAGUGUUGAACCCAAGAGCUUGCCAGAUCCCACAAAUCUAGAUCCAGAGAGCAGGGGGGAGGAGGACGAGGAGGAGGAGCAGGAGCUGGAGAAGGUGGAGGAGGAGAGGAGGACUCAGAUCCAAAUCCAUAGGAGGAGGCAGGGGAAAGAGAGGCCUUAGAUCCAAAUCCCUCCCCACCCACCUCGUCGGAGCCGUGCCGUCAUCCUCGUUUCCAGAUGCAUGGAGGUCGCAGAGCGAGGAAGAGAGAGUAUGGAGGGAGGAGGCGCGCCGCUCGCUGUAAGCCACGGUCAUCGCCCCCACUCUGGUGGCAUAGAGGCAUAAAGGUCGUAGCGGAGUGAGUGAGGGAAAGAGGGAGGAAGGAAGGGGGAGGGACAGCUUGCCAGCGGCGCAGUAGGAGUACAGGCGCAGGCGGCAAAAGCGGCGGGGGCAGCAAGAGGAAAGCCAAGAGGGAGAUAAAAAGAAAUGGAUAAGAAGACGUGAGGGGAGGAGGGGGCAACGAGUGGAUUAGGAGCGGAUAAAACUAGUGGACAGUGGUGUUCGUCGGUCCGGACGUCUUAUACAUAUCAUUACCGAUAGAAAUAACAACAGAAGGAAUUGGGAUUAUAUAUAUUAUUACUCCUACUUUUUGAUUGACAGCAAAUUAUAUUGCCCUGCGACAAGCAAGCAAGCACUCAUGGUGCGUGCCUCGUUGCCAUAAUGCCAUAGCAGUUAAGAGCCUCUGCCUCUCCAUGUGUAUAGGACGAUUGAUUGAUGGAUGAUGGUCCACGCAUACGAGCAUGGCCGGGUAUUUAGACCAUGUUUGGAUCACACAGGUAAACUAAAGUAGUCUAAAGUUUCACUCAUCAACUUUAUUAAAUAAAUUUUAGACCUGAUCUUUAAAGGAUUGUUGCUCUCUCUUCCCUUCUUAGUAAAACCAGCAAAUCAAACAAUCUACACCGCUGAAUCACUGGUAGAUUUGGCUAAGCGAACCGGCUGGCAAUUCAUUACCCAACCCAUGGUUUACCAGCAGUUAAAGAAGAGCAGAGCAGCAGUACACUCGUUUGUUUCAGUUCUGCAGACUCAAGAACCUCAGGUUGCAUCUCUUGCUAUAUUUAGCUUAGCUUAGUGCAGAGAUAUUUAUUGAUUAGGGUAAUCACAGAUCUGGUUUUUUUUUUUUUGAAAUUUCAGUUAAGCAUGCAUGAGCAUAGCCCUGAAGUGACAGGACCACAGAGUUACCGACAACAGACACCAGUUCGUCAGUAAAACCAGCCCUGAAGUGACAGGAUCAAACAAUCUGCUGUGCAAGGGUAUUUCCCUACUUGCCAAUCAAGGCCUUGUUUAGUUCACCCUGAAAACCAAAAAGUUUUCAAGAUUCUCCGUCACAUCGAAUCUUUUGACACAUGCAUGAAACAUUAAAUAUAGACGAAAAUAAAAACUAAUUGCACAGUUUAUCUGUAAAUUACGAGACGAAUCUUUUGAUCCUAGUUAUUUCAUAAUUGGACAAUAUUUGUCACAAACAAACGAAAGUGCUACAGUAGCGAAAUCCAAAAUCUUUUCGCAUCUAAACAAGGCCCAAGGCCGUGUUUACUUCCUCAACCAAAACAUUUCAUUACACUAUAGCUUUUUCGUUUGUUUGUGGUAAUUAUUGUCCAAGCAUGAACUAACUAGGCUCAAAAGAUUCGUCUUGUCAAUUUCGAUCAAACUGUGUAAUUAGUCUUUAUUUUUAUCUAUAUUUAAUACUCCAUGCAUACGUCUAAAGAUUCGAUGUGACGGAGAAUCUUGAAAAAUUUUAGGUUUUUGGGAGGAAGUAAACAAGGCCCAAUUCAAAACCCAACCCAUGGUGUACUAGCAGUUACCAAGAAGAAAAACACAGUUCUGUUCUGCAUACUCGAGAACCUCAGGUUGCAUCCCUUGCUAUGUUAGUUUAGCUUAGCUUAGUGCAGAGAUAUUUAUUCAUCAGGCUAAUCACAGAUCUGGUUAUUUUAGUUAAGCAUGAGCAUAUAUAACCCUGAACAAUCAUUAGUAGGUAUCGAAUGAUCCCAGCUGCACAAUUACUACUGACAGACAAAGAGAACUACGAAAUCGAGCAAGCUGAUCGAACCAUAUCCAUAGUCCAUACAUUCAUUCAUACAUACAUACAUGGGAUUGGCGAAGGAGAUGCAGGGGAAGUGAGGAAUCGGACAUGGAGCGAGGAGGAUCGAUGAGGAAUCAGCAGCACCGACUUCCAUAGCAAGCUGCAGCUACGAGAGAGAGAGAGAGUCACAGGAGGAGCCUCUGCCGGUGCGUCGCCGGCUGGAGCCUGUUGACGAGCGCGAGCGCGUUGCUGGUGGCCUGCGCGACGGCGACCACCCUCCUCUUCACCCUGACGGCAUCGUCGUCGCCGUCGCUGCCCUUGCCACCGCGGCCGCGGUCCUUGUGCUGCGCGAGGGAGUCGAGGCAGGUGGAGGUGUCGGUGAGCGCGGCGCUAGCCCAGGUCUGGACGUUGCUGAGGGACCAAGCGAAGCGCGGGGUGCCGGCGCGGCCCAUCCGCUCCAUCUCCG
rnacentral:lncRNA from 1 species